rnacentral:lncRNA from 1 species
CACACAGACACAUACGCCUCACACUCUCUGAUCAGAUCAGCCACAGAGUCACAGUAGCACUAGCUUGAGCUAGCCACCUUCUGCCACUCCGGGCAUUUUCUUGCAUCCACGAAGGCAAUGGCCACUGCUGAUGUACGUAUAGCUUGUCUCGAUCGUCUUCCUAUAGUUCUAUUCUCUUUUCGUAUGCUUGGAUCGAUGAUCGUUUCGAUGGGUUCUUCAUCUUUUGAUCUGCUCACUGUUUACCCGAUCCAACGAACGGCCGGUCGAUCAUGAUCAUGAUCAUGACCGAGCUCGAGCUAGAUCGGUUUGUGUAUGUGUUUGACAUGUGCGUGGCGCUAAUGAUAUUAAGUGUGCAAACGUGCAGGUCCAGAACCCGGCGGUCGCGCUGACGGAGGAGGCGCCCGCGGUGGAGACACCCCUGGUCGCCGAGGAGGUCGCGAAGACGGAGGAGGCCCCCACGCCGGCGGUGGCCGAAGUCGAAGCGCCUGCUGCCCCCGUCGAGGUUGAGGAGACUAAGGAGGAGGCGCCGGCCGCCGCUGAGACGGAGGAGACCAAGGAGCCCGAGCCCGCAGCUGCGGCCGAGCCGGAGGCCGAGGCGCCAGCCGUGGUCGAGACAGAGACCAAGGAGGCCGUGGCUGAGGCAGAGCCGGCGGUGGUCGAGGAGGUGAAGGAGGAGGCGGCGCCUGCUGCCGAGCCGGAGGUUGCGGCCGUCGCCGAGGAAGCACCGGCUGCUGCGGAGGAGGCACCCGCGGCCGCGGCAGAGGAGCCGGCCGCCGCGGUGGCCAGCGUCAGCGUGUGAGGCGCCGGCGCGCGCGGACGAGGAGCUGGCUGUGUCAGCGUCCACGGCGGCAGCCGUGUGCUCCUACGUGGCACGGCGUGAUGCUCAGUCAGCCAGUGGAGUGGACUGGAGUGGAGUGCUACUUUUUACUACUAGGUGUGGGGUGCUUUGCGCGGGGUCCGCGUGACGUGGGCUAAAUAAAAGUGUUGUCGGGUCGACGCCCAGUCCCAAGUGUCGGUCAGCAGAGAGCGAGAGACGCAGUGCCAGUGUGCCACUCUAGAUAAUGUAUGCUUCUUUUCUCGACAAGACAUGCUUCAUUAUUUCUACGGACAUCUGUUUUCUCUCUGCAUGGCAAACAUAAACCUUGUUUAUCCUAAUUUAGAUUUCUAAACAUGCGUCGUCAGAAGUGUCACCCCUUGGUAUGAGCUACACACGCAUGCAUGCCCGGUCUCUUGCGAAAUAAAAUGCGUGCUUCAUCGGUCAAUUUUUUUGGGGAUGACAGUGAGCUCAUCAGAGAAAGAGCGGUUGCUAUAGAGUGGCUAUUUUGAGCACCGAGUAUCUACGGGACCAUAGAUCGUGGUUUCAUUGAUUGUCUCCGCGCGCUUCUUUGGAUAUGUGAUCUGAGUAGGCCCCGACCUUUUCGCACUAACCAUCACCCGGGUAUAAGUAUGGGCACUCGGCGUCGUACGAUUCUUUCAAAAGCUCUCAGACGUCAGCAGUUUAGCAUCGCGCGCCGGGUUGGACGGGAACCACCUGCACUUGUAUAAGGGGAUGGGUGUGCUCCAGGACGCGUUCGGGAUUGCAAAGGACGAUUGGCCCAUGACACAUUCGCAUUUAGGAUGUAGACCGGUGUGCUGGUCUCUCUGUUUAGCCUAGGUAGGACUACGGUGUGUCGAUGAGCCGAGGUCGGGCAUGACCCAGAAACGUGUGUUCGUCCGGAGUUAAUCGAGCGUGUUGGGUAAGAUUUUUGCACCCCUGCAGGAAAGUUUAUCUAUUCAAAUAGCCGUGUCCACGACAACGGACGCUCGGAGUUGUAUCCCGAUCUAUUACAACUAGAACUGGAUACUAGAAACACUAAAUUGAUAUAAUGGCUCCGGGAUUGAUUUCUCGCAGGGAGUCGAGGAAGAAUCUCUGAGCGUUACUACAAUAUACUUGUUACUUCAUAAUAUGCUAAUCCACCUCUUCUAAUGUUGUAAGAUGCUUCAAAAUGCUAGUCUUCGAUAUGCUAGGUCUUCCCUUCUAUUCUGGCAUUUCUGCAGUUCAGUCCAAAGAUAUAGCUCCAUUCCUUUGAUACUGAUGCAUACUUUGUAUAUAUCUGAUGUAAGUCUUGCGAGUACUUAGGGUGAGUACUCAUGGUUGCUUUGCUACCUCUUUCUCCUAUAGCCGAUUGUUGCGAUCAUAUGACGGAGGCCAGGAGCCAGCUGAUCUUCAGCGACUAAUACUACCUCGACGGAGCUUACUACUACGUGAAGGCUGUUGACGACCAGGAGUAGUUAGGAGGCUCCCACGCAGGAGGCCUAUGCUUAUUCGAUCCAUGUUGUUGUUGUUGUUGUUGUUUUUGUUAUCCUUCUUAAGGCAAACUUGUUUACUUAUGUUUGUACUCACAUAUUGUUGUUUCCGCUGACUCUUAUGUAUUCGAGCCCUCGAGGCCCCUGGCUUGUAAUAUAAAGCAUGUGUGACUUUAAUUUGUGUCUAGAAUUCUGUUGUGAUAUCUUCCCGUGAGUCUCUGAUCUUGAUCGUGCACAUUUGCGUGUAUGAUUAGUGCACGAUUAAGUUGGGGCGUCACACUAGCGCCGCCUGUGCGGAGCAGCGGCCGGAGGUAGAGGAGGUCGUCGGACCGGAGAAGCAGAUCGGGCAUGCCUCGCAGAUCUGCGCGCGGGGUGGGAAGGGCCGGCGCCGGCGUCGGCGCUGCGGUGACGGGCGAUAGGUCGCGUCGCACCGGGCCCGGAGCUGCCGCCCAUAUCGGCCCACGAGCGCUCGAGCGUGAUACUGAGCGCCAGCUCCUUCUUGUCUCCGGGGCUGCCGUCGGAGUGGCUGCCGGUGCUGGAAAUGCUUGCCGGUGCUAGGGAUUUGGCGGAUUGGGGAAAUGGGAGCAUCGGGGAGGGAAGGGGAGCGGAGUGAGUUAGGGUUUCUGCCGUACGGGGAUUUUUUUGGGGUCAGGGUGGGCCAGCGGUGGGCCGGGCUGACGUAACGGACAUGCCUGGACCACCUCAUGUCUGCCCUAUAUUUGGGAUGGAUAUGAGGGGCGCCGGUCAGUCCGGACGUUUGAGGCCCGUUUGAGAGCUUCGGUUGGGUCGGUUUUUGGUGACUGGUCAGUGACCGGAUGGCCUGCCCAGACAGAUGAGACAGAUACAUGACGCCCGGUUGUAGAUGCUGUGAAGGUGCUCCUUUUGCCAAUGCCACAAAUUGCUCUCUCCGAAUGCAUGCUUUUCAACAUGGUUUUAUUUCUGCCGAGCUGAUAGAGUUUUUUUUAUGUACCCCUAUGUAAACCAAUAUAAGAUUUUCUUUUAGAUCACUAAAGUGAGAGCAAAUAUUAUUAGGAGGAUGAUAACCACCACGUAGAGUACGUACGUGGUACAAAAUGCACAACUCAUAUCUCAUUUAUCCUCGAGCACAGACGACAACAAAUGCACCUGGACUAAGCUCAAUCUUUUGGAGACCAUCCGCAUUUUACUUUUAGCAAAUUGGAGACCAUCCACAUGCAUGUAGUAGCCGCAUUUGUUAGAAAUAAUGGGCUCGACCUGUGAAUAAUUUCUGAAAUCUCAAAUUGGCCCAUGUGUACAUUAAAUUGGCAUGCGAUGGUUCUAAACAGUAUUAACAAAUCGAAAGUUGAGUAGAUGUGCGAACUCGCUAUACAGUGGGUUCUCUCCAUCACAUUAAGUCAUGUGCUGAGGAGAGAAAGCAAAGACCCCACACGGGCGCUCGCCUCGACUUGUCUCGUCGGUCUUGGGUCUGGAAUCGGACCGGGGCGGCAUAGCCGUGCGACAUGCGUGUGAAUCGUUCGUUUCGCGCUUGCCUCGCCGGGCUCAACCCAGGGCCGAAGUGGCGUGGGCGUGCAACAUGUACGUGGAUGUAUCGCCAAAAUCCGGUCCAUGGAGUAGGUCUCUAAAACUCGACGGCCGCGUUGCCAGAGGAGGCGCCCGCGGUGGAGACGUCGGUCGCCACCGAGGAGGUCGCGAAGACGGAGGAGGCCCCCGCGCCGGCGGAGGCCGAAGUCGAGGCGCCUGCUGCCCCCGUCGAGGUUGAGGAGACCAAGGAGAAGGUGUCGGCAGCCGCUGAGACGGAGGAGGCCAAGGACCCGAGCCAGCAGCUGUGGCCGAGCCGGAGGCCGAGGCAUCCAAAGAGCCAGAGGCGCCAGCCGUGGUCGAGACAGAGACCAAGGAGGCGAUGGCAGAGGCCGAGCCGACGGUGGUCGAGGAGGUGAAGAAGGAGGCCGCGCCUGCUGCCGAGCCAGAAGUGAUGGUCGCCCCAGCCGUCACGGUGGAAGCAGCGGAGGAAGCGCCUGCGCCCGCGGCGGAGGAGCAGACCGCCGCGAUGGCCAGCGUCAGCAUGUGAGGAGCGAGCAAGGAGGAGCUGGCUGGGUCAGCGUCCACGGCAGCGGCCGUGUGCUCCUACGUGGGACAGCGUGAUGCUGAGUCAGCCAAUAGAGUGGACUGGAGUGCUACUCCCUCCGUUCAAAAAUAUAGUCCGCCCGUGCUUCCCAAGGUCCAGUUUUGACCAUAAAUUUAACCAAUGAGACCGACUGCGGCGGGUGAAAAAUUAUAUAAUUGAAAAGUUCUUUUGAAUACGAAUUCACUGGUAUGACUUUUGCUCCCGUCGCAGUCGGUCUCGUUGGUUAAACUUAUGGUCAAAUUUGAAUCACGGGAAUAGAGGAAGCACUAUAUUUUGGAACGAAGGGAAUACUUUUUACUACUAGGUGUGGAGUGGAGUGCUAUGCGCGGGGUCGUGUGAAGUGGGCUAAAUAAAAGUGUUGUCUAGGCCAGUUGAUGUCCAGUGGUCAACAGCGAGCGAGCGACGCAGUGCCACUUCUAGAUAAUGUAUGCUUUGAAAGUGCGUUAUAUCGACUAGAGGAGGGGUGAAUAGGCGAUUUUUACAAAUUCGUCACUGAGGAAAUUCUAAGUGAGGAAUUUCCUAAGCAAUGAAACACUAGCAGCGGAAUAAAUACUCAGGUACAAGCAUAACAGAGCAAUAGCGUAGUCAUCAUGAUGAAAUGAAAACAAGCACAGAGUACAGGUAGCAUGAAAACAUGAUAAGAAGGCUGAAGACAAAGUGACUGGAGAAAUAGGGUCGAGGAAAUAGAGAAAGUCUUCAGUCAAAGUCUUCAAACAGUAACAAUCAGGUUCAUCAACAUAUGAAUGAGGAAAUGAAAGGGUUGAGGAAAUAGAACCAGUAGCUUGGUCAAGACGAUGAUUUGGUAGGCCAGUUCCAACUGCUGUGACAGUUGUACGUCUGGUUUGAGCGGCUAGAUAUUUAAACCUAAAGACACACAGUCCCGGACACACAGUCCUCACCUAUUCUCCUUGAGCUAAAGUCACACAGACCUCGGCCAAUCACUCGUGGUAAGACUUCACGUGACUUACAAACCUUCACAGACUUGGUCACUUGGCGAUCCACAAUUCCUCUUGGACGCUCUAGACCAUGACGCCUAACCGUCUGAAGGAUGCACAGUCCUAAAAGGUAACAAGCGUUGGUUCCACACAGGAACAAUCUCUUUAGUGAUGCUCAAUCACUUUGGGUUGUAGGUGUUUGGGUUUGGGUUUUUCUCACUUGAUGAUUUUCGCGCAAAGUCCUCGGAGGAUGGGAUGCUCUCAAUGACAAGUGUCAGUUUCUCUCGGAGUAGCCAACAAACUAGUGGUUGUAGGGGAGGCUAUUUAUAGGCUAGGAGUAGCCCAACAUGAUAACAUUACUGGAAUCAGUAUCUUUGCCGUCAGCCAGCUCGUUGCCGUCUGUUAACUGAUGACAAAGAAGGUCUUUGCCAUCAACUUACAGAAAACCGACGGCAAAGAAAGAGCUAACGGCAAAGAUCAUGUUUGGCAUCAGCCAGAUCUUCGCCGUCUGCUAGCAGGCGAUAAAGAGGGAGGGUGGCCCACUAGCGAGAACCACCUAACGACCACUUUCUUUGUCGUCUACUAGUUGACGGUAAAGAAAGUGGCCAACCUAACAGUCGUUUACCCCGGCCCCACUCCACUAGCUAGGCUCUUUGCUGUUUGCUAGCAGACGACAAAGAGCUUCUUCUUCUUCUUCUUCUUCUUCUUCUUCUUCUUCUUCUUCUUCUUCUUCUUCUUCUUCUUCUUCUUCUUCUUCUUCUUAUACAACAAAGGCCUUUGCAUCUUUGCCGUCUGCUAGCAGAAGGCAAAGAGCCCUUCACCGCAGUUUGUUCAGCCGGAUGUGUUGCCGUCUGUUGGCUGACGAUAAAGGCAUUUGCCGUCCGCCAGGCAUGCCUUUGCCGUCAGCCAUGGCAGACGGCAAAGUUCCUGAUUCCUGUAAUGUAAGACAUAAAUGCACUUCAGUAAUAUGACCAUUAGGUGGGUAGGAUAUUUUAGACAGCUGGCGCGUAGCACAACAACGGUCGGAAAUUUGAGCUCUCAAAUUCCUCAGGACUAUCAUGUUCCUCACAUGUAGGCAAUCCACACUGGUGAAUUCCAAACUCCUCAGUCAGAACCAAUUUCUUAGAGAACAGAAGAUCUUCGUCUCUGUCACUGAAGAAAUUGACUGAACUGUAUGAGAUUUCCAAUGACUUCACUCGGAAGGAUUGGGUAGGUGUAGGCUUUGAGUUGAGCAUCACUUGGAAAGUGUUUCCUUAGUUUUACCUUGACCCCCUUUAACAGUACGGUGUUUCCUAUGACUCAAGAAAGAGAAAAUGAAACUACGAAAAAAAAGUCUUCACGCUUCAUAGUCCUCACAUGAAUAUCUAAGUUUUCAAGGUCACACCAAUUAUCUCAGUUUCAAAAUCUUCAAGAAAACCAAAGUCUUCGGCUGAAGACGUACAUUUUUAGGGGUGAACUUUCAUCGUAAAUAUCAAACUCCUCAUCGACUUAUAGAUCCUUUGUACACUCACAAACACAUUAGUCUCUUAACCUAUAAGUCUUCAGUACACCAAAAUCACUAAGGGGCACUGGAUGCACUUACAAUCCCCCCCUUUUGGUGAUUGAUGACAAAUAGGUUAAGUUUUCAACGUGGAUAAAUAUAUGAAGUGUAAAUGCUAAUAUUGAGAAAUUUGAUUGCAAGAUAUAGAAGAACUCCCCCUGAAGAUGUGCAUAUUGAGGAAGUUGCUUUGGAUUGCAAAUGCACAUUGUAGAGUAAUAUCAUGGAGAUAUCCCCCUAUAUCUUGUAAUUCAUACACACAUUUGACAUAUGAUAUGAAGAAUUUGAAAUGCAUGAUGAAAUAUGGUGUCUGACGAAAUUCAGCAUGCGUGCAUUAAGGUACUUGAGGAAAUAAUCAUGUAGAAAAUAGUCAAAAGUAUCAGAGCACCAUAGGACUUAAGUUUACAACUCAUGAGAGCAAACACCUCAGAAGAGAAAGAGUUGUAACUUAACAAAAAAACGCCCAUAAAAGAGAGACCCACUUGAAGACUAACCCAGAUUCUUCCCCCUUUGUCAUCAAAUGACAAAAAAGGGACAAAAAUGAGGACUAACGCCCCUGAAGAAUAUAAUCAUCAUGUCGAUGGAGGAGCACCAGCGUUGUUGGGGUCGUCCGUUGAGGUAGGGCCUGCCGCAGUGUCGUUCAAGUCUUCAGCUUCAUCCGUCUCAUGCGACGAAGAAUAUGAACUGGCGACCAGCUGAGGAACUUUGACCUUCUUGAAUUUCUUCGAAGGUGGCUGAGACUAGUCAAAGUCCUGUUGGAAGUCCAUUUCCUUGAGUAUCUGUCAUGUUCUGAAGAAUUGCACCAAACUGACACUUGACCCACUUGUGACUUCGAUCAACUUUCUGGUGAAGACUGAGGAGAAGUUCACCAUUAGUCAUUACACGCGGAGCAGUGGCUUGAGGAUUUUGCUUUGAAGCUUUGGCGGCAGAAUCUUGUGUUGCAGAGUCAUCAUUGGUGGAAUAUGAGGCAGCCUUGCGAAACUGACCAUCCAAUGGACGAGUGCCUUCAUCAAUACAGCCGCUUUGCAUUUCUCAUCAGCUGAGGGAAUAGUCCUUUUGAGAACUUCAAUAGGUGGCAAAUAGCUAAGAUGAUUUUGAAAGUCGGCCUUGUAGUGAAUUGAAGACCUUGAUCUGAUGAAUUUCAUGAUCCAGGGUGCAUAAGGCUUCAACUCAAAAAGUGACAGAGCAGCAUUGGUCAAAGUCCUCAUGAAGAAAUCAUGGUAGUUGAUAGGAAUACCAUGCAUGAUAUUGAAAAGCAGAUGCUUCAUGAUGCCAACAACCUCUUCUUCAUCAGAGUUGUGGCCCUUGAUUGGACUGAGGGUUUUGGUCAAGAUGCGAUAAACUAUCCUUGGCACAUAGAGCAACGCCUUCAUGAGGAAUGUGGUCCUUGGAGCUUGGCCAGCCUUGAAAGGCUUCAUCAUCACUUGCAUCAAAUGAUUUGAGAGUUCAGGUUCCUCAUAGAGGAACAGGGCACCUUCAGUGGGAGGAUUGACUGGGACGGCGUGAAGCAAUUCAGAGGCUGGUGCUUUGUAAUGAGUAUUUUCAGACAUCCAGUCAAGCACCCAUGAAUUCACAUCUUCAACAUUUCUAGUAAGGUGCAGUGUUGCGUAGAAUUGAAGAAUGAGUUCUUUAUUCCACUCACAGAUGUCAGUACAGAGGUUCAAGAGCCUAGCAUCAUGAAGAACACUCAGGACAGGUUGGAAGCAACGAAGUGAUUCCAUAUCCACAUGAGGAAUUUGUUGAUGCUCAAAUACCCUGUCCUUAUCGAAUAGGUGUGAAGAAUAGCCUGACUGGCUGUCCAGAAGCGCUUGUGUCGAAGCCUUGUAGAGUCAUAGGGAUUGUAAUCCAUGAAGAAAUGAUGCUCAAUAAAUAAAUCAUCAACUUUGAAUUUCUGCUUCUUUGUAUGAGGAUUUUGUGGCUUGUGCUAAAGAUUAACAGUUGAAAUCUUCACAUCCUCUUGGUGCACAACCUCUGGAGCCACAGACUGAGGUAUUUCAGCGGCAGAUUCAUCAGCAGCAGUUGUCCUCCAUUUCUUAUCCAUUAUAAGCUGGGACUUCUUCUGGAAUAUAAUGAAGUGAAGUUUGUCCUUCUUCAGAUCUAGUAUGAAUUUCUUCAGUUUGAACUGGGGACUGAGGAAUUUGAUGUAGAGGGGUGGUCAAUGGUGAAUUUGGAUGAUGUCUUUCCCAAUAGUCAUAAUUCAAAAUAGGAGUUGUAGAACUAAUGUCCACAUCCUCAUCUUCUUCAUCAAUUUCUUCAACGCCUGCCUCUUCCACUGUGAGCUGAGGCAUGGGCAAUGAUACCAGCGGAGUUGAAGGGAUAUUAUCUACUUCAAUUUCUUCAUCCAACCGCUCUGAAGUAGCAGCAGAGGGUUUUUCUUCAUCAGAGUCAUCAUGUAUGACAUAUUCCACACUAAGGGGAACAAUCUCCUUUGAUGGCAUGCUUGAGAGAGGAAUAACAUCAAUGGGGUUGGCGUAUGAACUCAUCAAAGUCUUCACUUUCUUAGGAGCAGAAGACUCUAUAGUUGUUGAUGCUUUUCUUUUCAAGACUCCGAAGUUGUUGAUGCUUUUCUUUUCUUCACUACUGCCCUCUCCGAAGCUCUGGUCUUCUUCGCUUCUGAUGCAGAAGGAAGGUUGAUAUUUUUCAUAUAUGAUGACUUUGCAAGAGGAGCAACUAAUGCAGUUGCCCUAGCUUGCUUACAUUCUUCAAGCGCAACAUCAGAUUCUUUAGCUGGACUGGGUUGUUCUUCAAGCGCAACAUUGGAGGUUGCCCUGGCAGUUUCUUUAGGAGCUGUAAUUUCUUCGGCAAGGUUGGACCUACUGAGGACUGAGGAGGAGCUGAGGAACUUGCAGAUGCUCCUAAAGCAAUAGAGAUUCCAGUAGUUCGUUGGCACGUGGCAAGAUGCACAGGUGUAGAGGACUUUGUAGGUGCAGCUGAGGAUUUUGCAACUGAGGGAGUUGGAGCUGCAUUUGAAGAGGUUGCUUGAGGAAUAGGCCAUGAGGGCUUUGAAGAACUUGGCCUUGAGGGCAUUGCAGCUGAGGAAGUUGGCUUCAUAGUUGAUUUAUUUGGUAUGGCCUUCUUGGGCUUACUAGCAGAGGCCUUAGUAGCAGCAGCAGAAUCUUCAUUGAAUUUCUUCGCUGCUUCUUUUGCUACUUUGGCCAAUUUGGCUUGUCGCUUGGCCCAUUCUCUAGGAAAUUCCUCACCUCUUCUGAUGCUAGAGGGAUCAGCUUCUUGGCCUGGAGCCAUUGGAGGUCUUGGACAUGGAGGGUUAACCGCAAAUUUCUUCAUGUACUUUGGAGUGACAUAACGAUAUUCCCUCCAUUCUCUUGCCCAUCUUCUUUCAAUCCGCUGAAUGCGCACUUUGCGCUGAUUUUUGUUCUCCUUGCCAUGAGUGGAUUCAUCAGGAGUGCAGUAUUCAUCAUACAUGUCUUCAGGGAUUUCAAACAGUGUAUUUGUUUCAGGCCUCUUCCCUCCUUUCCGAGGACGUUUACCAUCAGCCAUUUUCUUCACUUGAAGAUUUUGAACAAUCGAAGUUUCUGAGGAGGUAUGCAAUUUGUCUUCGAGGAACGCUGCAAAUGAGUUAAGUUGAUGAGAACCUAGUGAUUCAGUAGAGGACAUGUGUACCUGUGGACAGAGUGUAGGUGCGAAGAAUUUGGAGAGGUCAUAUGCGUUCUCAGAAUUUUUCAGAAGAAUCAAGUUUGAGGAAUUUGACCAUGGGUGUCUUGAAGAAUUUCACUAAGCGUUUUUGUCUUAGGUUCUAGAGUUGUAUAGAUUGAAAAUCCACAAAAUUGAGGAAUCUUGAAGAAAAACACAUCUUAGAGAAACAAAUCAAGAACAUAUGCAACUUGGUGUUUAAAGAUAGGGAAAUUGAAGAAUAAACACCUUUUGAAGAUAUUGUGGAAAUCAUCAGAAUCAACAAGAGCAGUAAAAAGAGAUUUUAUUUACCCUUGACGAAGAACACGAUGAACUGGGAGUAGAAGUGGAGAAGUUCGUCAGUCCAGAUCUCCCACACCCUAACUUGGCGGUGAGAGACAGCUACGACGGCGACAGAGGUGAAGAUUUCCGCGGCCGGUGCGAGUAUGACGGUGACAAGGUCGAGGCAGUGAAGCUCUUCCUCACUAGCAACAAUGGAGAGUAGCAGCGGUGCUAGGUCUGGGAGCUCGAGCGAGGGGAGUGAGAUCAAGCAAAGUAAAUGAGGACUGAGGAGGGCGAGGGGUAUUUAUAGCCGAGUGAAAAACCGCUCGUCUGAGGAAAUUUGGACGAACGUGCCCCCGACCCUUUCCAUCCUAGCGGCAUGUGUCACCCACGUACUGAUAGGUGGAGAUCGUGUUAGAUCAUGGGUGAAUAGUUUAAUCCUGUCGUUGGAUGCGGAAUGAUUUGAGCGGCAAAAGCCGAAAAGUUAGAUAUGAAACUUUUAAUGUUUCGUUCGCAGAUUCUUCAGCUGUCAAGGACACAGUAAAGAUUUUGAAUGGGUUUCAAAUAGAACGCAUAUGAAGAAUAUGUGAACAGACUGGGUUGAGUUUAGCAUAGAGGGGGAACGGGUCCGAUCACAUUCACUUAGAUGAAAAAGUCAAUUUUAAGAAUUAGCAAUGAAGAACUCGAGUCAGAAAGAUUGAACAUUUUGCAAAGUUGAAGAAUUUGCAAAAAUUAAGAAAAACUUAAAUUUGAAGAUUUUUAACUUUGGUUGGUGGCCUAACCCACCAUAUAAGAAUGAUGAUUUCAUACACCGCAUAUAAUUGUCGUAGUGUUCUGAGAAUCAAAUUCUUCAUUAAUUUCUUCACACUUAGAGGGUUAAUCUUCAUUGAUUGAAGAAAAACGUUACUUCCUGUGUUGCACAUGUAAGUCAUCAAUUUUUCAUAAGUGUUAGGAUGUGUGUCCUUUCAAAGGACAUUCGAAGAUUCUAAGAUAUUUAGCUCACACUGCAACUUGCUAAAUCUCUUCUCAUCCAAGGGCUUUGUGAAGAUAUCUACCAGCUGAUCUUUAGUCUUCAUGUGGUCGAUGGAGAUGUCGCCCUUCAACACAUGAUCACGAAGAAAAUGAUGACGAAUCUGGAUGUGCUUUGUCUUCCAGUGUUGAACUGGGUUGUGAGAAAUCUUGACGGUACUCUCGUUGUCGCAGUAGAGUGGCACAUUCUUCACAUUGAUGCCAUAGUCCUUGAGGGUUUGCUUCAUCCAUAGCAACUAAGCACAACAAGAACCAACAAUAAUAUACUCAGCUUUAGCAGUAGAGAGUGAUACGCAGUUCUGCUUCUUCGAGGACCAAUAUAUCAAGGAUCAUCCGAGGAAAUGACAUGUGCCUGAUGUUGACUUGCGAUCCACCCGGUCACCAGCAUAGUCAGAGUCAGAAUAUCCAAUGAGAUCAUAAACCGAGCCCUUGGGAUGCCACAAUCCAAGUGUUGGAGUGUGAGCUAGAUAUCGAAGAAUAUGUUUCACAACCUUAUGGUGUGAUUCCUUCGGUGUAGCUUGAAAUCAGGCACACAUGCAAACACUAAGCAUAAUAUAUGUCCUAGAUGCACAUAGGUACAAUAAAGAGCCAAUCAUGGAGUGGUAUACUUUUUGAUCAAAGUCUUUACCAUUUUCAUCGGUGCAUAGAUGGCCAUUUGUGGGCAUAGGUAUUUUGACGCCUUUGCAAUCUUACAUGCCGAAUUUCCUCAACACAUCCUUGAGGUAUUUCUCUUGAGAUAUGACGAUGUCGUUGCGUUGUUGACGAAUUUUAAGAAAAUUCUCCCAUCAUAGACAUCUGAUAUUCUUCACUCACCGUAUAGGCAGAUUUGUCACUAUAACGUUGGUUAGUACAACCAAAGAUAAUAUCAUCACCAUAAAUUUGGCACACGAAUAAUUCAUCAUCAUAUGUUUUGGUGAAAAGAGUUGGGUCAAGUGAACCUGGUUUGAAGCCUUUCUUCAUGAGGAAUUCCUUCAAAGUAUCAUACCGCGCCCGAGGGGCCUGCUUGAGGCCAUACAUGGCCUUAUUGAGUCUAAAGACAUGGUCUGGAAGCUUUGGAUCCUCAAAACCUGGUGGUUGAGCAACAUAUACUUCUUCCUCAAGCUUACCAAUGAGGAAUGCAAUUUUCACAUACAUUUGAUAUAAGAUGAUAUUAUGAUGGUUAGCAUAAGCAAGCAAUAUGCGAAUAGCCUCAAGUCUAGCAACAUGUGCAAAAGUUUCAUCGUAAUCAAUUCCUUCAACCUGUGUGUAGGCUUGAGCUAUAAGACGAGCCUUAUUCCAGUCUAGCAACAUGAUAUUAUGCUUGCUAGAAUCUACUGAAGAAGAUCCAUUUGGUGUCGAUGAUAUUGUGUUUGUGUGGGUCUGGUCGCUUGACAAGCUCCCACACAUUGUUGAGCUCGAAUUGAUGUAAUUCCUCUUGCAUAGCUUGAAUCCACUCAGGCUCCAGAAAUGCCUCAUCAACUUUGGUGGGCUUUGUGAUAGAGACAAAAGCAAAAUGCCCACAAAAGUAAGACAAAUGUGUAGCUUUUGAGCGUGUGAGAGGACCUGGUGCGUUGAUGUUGUCGAUGAUUCUCUCAAUUUGCACUUCAUUUGCAACGCAAGGAUGAGCUGGUUGAUGAAUUUGAUUUGGCUCAGCAUUUUCUUCAGAGCCAUUUUCUUCAGGUGCACCAGCAUGAUUUUCUUUGCAUUCUAGAAUGACUUCUUCAGAAGAUUCUUCAGUGGUUAUGACAUCCUCAACAGCCUUGAACUUGAUGGAUUCCUCAGGUGACAUUUCAUCUAGCACAAUAGGUAGGUGCUCUCUUUGCGAGCCGUUAGUUUCAUCGAAUCGCACAUCUAUAGUUUCAACAACCUUGUGGUGAUAGGUGUUGAAGACUCUGUAGGUGUGCGAGUCCUUUCCGCAACCAAGCAUAAAACCUUCAUGUGCUUUCGGUGCAAAUUAAGAAUUGUGAUGAGGAUCUCUAAUCCAGCAUUUAGCACCGAAGACUAUGAAAUAACUUACAUUGGGUUUCUUGUCAGCGAGGAGUUCAUAUGAGGUAUUUUUGAAGAAUUUUUGAAGAUAUACCCUAUUGAUGAUGUGGCACGCAGUAUCAAUAGCGUCAGGACAGAAACGAGGAGGUGUCUUGUAUUUAUCAAGCAUAGUGCAAGCCAUCUCAACAAGAGUCCUGUUCUUGCGCUCCACGACGCCAUUCUGCUGAGGUAUGUAAGGGGCAGAUAACUCAUGAGUAAUACCAAGUUCAUCAAGAUAGUCAUCAAGACUAGUGUUCUUGAACUCGGUCCCAUUAUCACUCUGGAUAUGCUUGAUCUUCACAUUGAAGUUCGUAGAUGCUCUUGAGGAAAAUCAUUUGAAGACUUCCCGCACUUCAGUUUUAUAAGUGAUGAUAUGCACCCAUGUGUAACGAGAAUAAUCAUCAACAAUAACAAAGCCAUAUAGAAAUGCUGCAUUUGUUAGUGUGGCAUAAUGAGUAGGGACAAAGAGAUCCACGUGAAGUAAUUCAAAUGGACAAGAGGUGGUCAUGAUAGUCUUUGAGGGGUGCUUGGCUCUGGUAUUCUUUCCAGCCUCACAAGCCCCACAAAGAUGAUCUUUAAGGAAUUUGACACCCUCGAUGCCAAUGACAUGCUUCUUCUUCGCGAGAGUAUGUAAGUUCCUCAUGGCAGCAUGACCUAGUCGUCGAUGCCAUAACCAGCCUUCUGAAGCUUUUGCAAGUAGACAUGUGGCAGGCUGUGGUCCCACAGAGAAGUCAACAAUAUACAAGUCUCCUCUCCUAAAGCCUUCGAAGACUUUGGAAUUGUUAGAUUCCAUUAGCACAAUACAACAAUAUUUUCCAAAGAUGACAACCAUAUCAAGAUCACAAGGCAUUGAGACAGACAUGAGGUUGAAUCCUAAGGACUCGACAAGCAUGACUUUCUCCAUGUGUCUAUCCUUUGAGAUUGCAACCCUACUAUGAUAGCCUGGCUUAUUCGGGAUUAUAGACUACUUAUAUCAAUAAGGAAUUCCUUCUUUUCCGGAAGCCCAUUCGGACAGAACUCCAAAGUUAAGCGUGCUCAGCUUGGAGCAAUUUCAGGAUGGGUGACUAACUGGGAAGUUACUCCCGGGUGCGCACGAGUGAGGACAAAGUGCGCAAAAAAGACUAGUAUUGAUUUGUGGGGCCAAUCUAGAUCCCACCAGGAGUGACGACCACUGGCGGGUGUGUCUGGGGCGUUACAAGUUGGUAUCAGAGCUGACCCUCGAGGUUACACGGAUGUUUGCAGACAGGUGCGCGGUCAUAUUUGUUCAUGACGUUUGUGACCCGUCAUGGCACACGACAUGACACAUGUAAUGGACUGGAUGCACAGACGUAUGUGCCAAGAGGGAACGUUCAUGUGGCCCGACGAGGACGUCGGUUCCUCUGAGUGGGGGUGUAUGUGAUAGCCUGGCUUAUUAGGGAUUAUAGACUACUCAUAUCAAUUAGGAAUUCCUUCUUUUAUGGAAGUGCAUUGAGACAUAACUUGCGGGUGUGUCCGGGGCGUUACACCUACCUAGACCCAAUACCUUGCUUUUGCCUUUGUCAGCGUAGGUGAUAUGCUUCAGAUGAGAUGGAGAUAAAGCCGUGUCCAUCAAUAAGUUCCUGUCACUAGUCAUGUGAUUUGUACAUCCACUGUCGAGGACCCACUCAGUAGCUUUGGGUUGUUCAUCCUGCAGAUGAAUUAGUGCAACUUAUGAACCCAUAUACUUCAUUAGUGAAGAAUAUGACAUCAAUUUGAUUAGAUUGAAUUUCAUCAAGUAGUACAACAGAUAUAGCAGUAUGAGGACGUGAGAAAUGAGUAAUUCAUUUCUUCAUGAUUAGAUUGCUUCCUUUCAAGCAUAUUCAUGUCUCCAGCAAAUUCUUCAGACGUUCAAGUUCGUCUAGAGACCUGACCCUGCAUAAGAGAUUAGUUCUUUUUCUUCACCACCAACAUAUGCAAGGGUGGCAAAGAGUUCAUCAUUCUGCGAGCUCCGUAAGAGAAAGAUGGCAUUGAAGCCAACCCUCUUUGUUUCACAAAAGAGGUGUUAGAGUAAGCAUAUGAAUAAGCAGAGAAAUUCUUCCAGGACUUAUGAACAUAAUGAUUUGAAGAAUAAUGCACAUAUUCAUAGCCUUUUGACUUUCCCUGCGAAACAGAAGUGUUAGCACGAUGAUGUUCAUAUGUGGAUUUGGAUCCACAUGAGGAAUUUGAACCAAAUGAAGAAUUUGGUCCAUAUGAGGACUUGGAUCCAUAUGAAGAUUUUGAUCCAUAUGAAGAAUUUGAUAUGGGGUUCCUAUUCUUCGCAGGUGGUGUCAUGAGGGCAUUCACCUAAAGACUUUCAAGGCACCUUUUGGGAACCCAGAUUUUCUUCAUAGGGGGACCGUUCCUGCAGUUAGUUCCAACAUAUCGAGAAACUACUCUACCAUUCUAAUUUUUGAACAGUUUAUAGUUGGAGUCAAAUGACUCAUCAGAGGAACGUGAGGAUUCAUAAGUAAAGCCAGAUAAAGUGGAUGGAUGUACGGGAAGUCUUUUCGCAGCAACCCAUGUGGUUUUGGGAUACUGCUCAGGUUUCCAGUAGGUCCCAUCCUCAUUGACUUUCCUCUCAAAGUCAAUACCCUCUUUUCUAGGGCUCCUGUUCAAGAUCUGCCUUUUGAGUACAUCACAAAGAGUCUGAUGCCCUUUGAGGCUUUUGUAUAUGCCUGUCACAUACAAUUCCUUCAACCCUGCAUUAUUGUCAUUGAUACUUGUGGUAUCCUCAAAUGAUGAAUUUGUGACCACAGAGAUAGUUAAAAAAUUUGCAGUAAUAGAAGCAUUUGAACAUUCAGGUGAAGAAUUAGCAGAUUCAUACUCAAUGCAUUUCAAACAUGGUGGAAUGAAUUCUUCCUGAGCAGAAUUGAUCUAUUGAGCAAGCAAUGAAUCAGUUUCCUUUUGAAGAUCUUCAUAACUUACUCUUAACUUCUCAAGAUCUUGCUUUCUUUGAAGAAAUUCAUAAGAAAGCUUCUCAUGAUCGGCUAAGAGAGAGUUAUGAUGAUUCUAAAGAUUAUCAAACUUAGACUGAAGUCACUAAAGAUUAUCAGUCAGAGUUUCAGUUCGAACCAAUUCCUCACCCAACAGGUCAUCACUUUUGUCUAGUAGAUUUUGAACCUUUUCCAAAGCCUUUUGUUGUUUAACAAUAAUUUUAGCAAGUUUGGAAUAGCUAGGUUUGAGAUUUUCAUCGGAUUCAUCCUCACUGGAUUCAGAGGGGAAAUGUUUGACUACCUUGGCACCUUUUGCCAUGAAGCAGUAGGUGGGAGCGUAGUCAUUGACGCUAUCAUCAGCAGUGUUGGGGAGGUCAUUUUCAUCAACAAUGAAGAUGGACUUGCUGACGUAAGUAGUAGCAAGGGCUAGGCUCGCCACACUAGAGUCUGACUCCUCAGAUUCCUGCCCUUCCUCAUUUUUAUCAGAUUCAGCUUCAGAGUCCAUUUCCUUGCCAAUAAAUGCCCGAGCCUUUUUGGAACUCCUCUUCUUGUGAGAUGAAGACUUUGAACAUAUUGACGAUGAGGACUUUCAAGAUUUCUUAUUCUUCUUUGAGUCAUCAGAACUAUCAUCCUGGUACUUCUUCUUGUUUGAUUCCUUCGCCCACUGAGGACUAUCAGUGAUAUAGUGGCCAGGUUUCUUGCAUUUGUGGCAAGUCUUAUUCUUGUAAUCGUGGGAUCAGGAAUCAGAUCUCACGUCAUCACUUCUUGAAGAUUUUCCAAAGCGACCAUGCCGUGAGAACUUCUAGAAUUUCCUCACGAGCAUUGUUGGCUCCUUUCUUAGUACUUCAAGAUCACCAAGGCUGCUACCAGAAUUUUCACCUUCAAAUUUAGAGACUACCUUGGCCUUCAGUGCACGUGAUCUUCCAUAGCUUGUCCCAUAGAGGUCUCUCUUCUCAGCAAGCUGGAACACAUGAGUAUUUAGCCUCUCGAGGAUAUCAGCAGAAUCUAGUGAGUUGUAGUCUCCACGUUCUUGAAUCAUCAGUGCAAGAGUAUCGAAUGAGGAAUCAAGUGAUCUCAGCAAUUUCUUCACCACCUCAUGGUCGGUGAUUUUAGUGGCACCAAGUGCUUGAAGCUCACUUGAGAUGUCUAUGAGGCGAUCGAAGGUUUGCUGAACAUUUUCGUUGUCGAAUCUUUUGAAGCAGAUGAAGAGAUUGCAAAGAACAUGAAAUCAGGAGUCACGUUGAGUAGAGACUCCUUCGUUGACCUUGGAUAGUCUGUCCCAGAUGAGCUUUGCUGUUCCAAAGCACUCACUCUACUGUACUGUCCUUGGCUCAUAUGGCCACAUAUGAUAUUCUUUGCUUGAGAAUCAAGUUGCUUGAGUCUCUUCAUAUCUAUAGCAUUCAGGGACGGUGUGACAGAGGGAACACCAUUUUCCACAACAUACCAGAGAUCGUUGUCAACUGCCUCAAGAUGCAUGCAUAUCUUAUUCUUACAGUAGGGGUAGUCCGUCCCAUCGAAGUUAGGACACCCAGCCGAAACCUUGAUCAUUCUUGCAGUCGACAUAACUAAAACUCCAGGUGGUUAAACCAAAAUCACAUAGAACAAGGGAGUACCUUUCUCAUACCAAAUGAAAGUGUGUUAUGUCGACUAGGGGGGGGGGUGAAUAGGCGACUUUUACAAAUUCAUCACCAAGGAAAUUCUAAGUGAGGAAUUCCCUAAGCAACAAAACACUAACAGCAGAAUACUCAGGUACAAGAAUAACAAAGCAAUAGCAUAGUCAUCAUGAUAAAAUGGAAACAAGCACAAAGUAUAGGUAGCGUGAAAGCAGGAUAAGCAGGCUGAAGAGAAAGUGACUGAAGAAAUAGGGUUGAGGAAAUAGAGAAAGUCUUCAGUCAAAGUCUUCAAACAGUAAUGAUUAGGUUCAUCAACAUAUGAAUGAGGAAAUGAAAGGGUUGAGGAAAUAGAACCAGUAGCUUGGUGAAGACGAUGAUUUGGUAGACCAGUUCCAACUACUGUGACACUUGUACGUCUGGUUGGAGUGGCUGGGUAUUUAGACCUAUGGACACAUAGUCUCGGACAAACAGUCCUCACCGUAUUCUCCUUGAGCUAAAGUCAGACAGACAUCGCCCAAUCACUCGUGGUAAGUCUUCAGGUGACGUCCAAACCUUCACAGACUUGGUCACUUGGCGAUCCACAAUUUCUCUUGGACGCUCUAGACCAUGACGCCUAACCGUGUGGAGGAUGCACAAUCCUCAAAGGUAACAAACGUCUCCACACAGGAACAAUCUCUUCAGUGAUGCUCAAUCACUUUGGUUUGUAGGUGUUUGGGUUUGGGUUUUCCUCACUUGAUGAUUUUCGCUCAAAGUCCUCGAAGGAUGGGACACUCUCAAUGACAAGUGUCGGUUUCUCUUGGAGCAGCCAACCAACUAGUGGUUGUAGGGGGCGGCUAUUUAUAGUCUAGGAGCAGCCCGACAUGAUAAGACAUAAACGCCCUUCAAUGAUAUAACCGUUAGGUGGGUAGGAUAUUUUGGACAGCUGGCGUGUAGCAUAGCAACGGUCGGAAAUUUGAGCUCUCAAAUUCCUUAGGGCUAUCAUGUUCCUCACAUGUAGGCAAUCCACACUGGCGAAUUCCUAACUCCUCAGUCAGAACAAAUUUCUCAUAGAACAGAAGAUCUUCAUCUGUGUCACUGAAGAAAUUGACUGAACUGUAUGAGAUUUCCAAUGGCUUCACUUGAAAGGAUUGGGUAGGUGUAGGCUUUUAGUUGAGCAUCACUUGGAAAGUGUUUCCUUAGUUUUACCUCGACCCCUUUAACAGUAUGGUGUUUCCUAUGACUCAAGAAAGAGAAAAUGAAACUACGAAAACAAAAGUCUUCAUGCUUCAUAGUCCUUGCUUGAAUAUCCAAUUCUUCAAGGUCACACCAAUUUUCUCAGUUUCAAAGUCUUCAAGAAAACCAAAGUCUUCGGCUGAAGACAUACAUGUUUAGGGGUCGACUUUCAUCAUAAAUGUCAAACUCCUCAUCGACUUAUAGAGCCUGUGUACACUCACAAACACAUUAGUCCCUUAAUCUAUAAGUCUUCAGUACACAAAAAUCACUAAGGGGCACUAGAUGCACUUACAUGCUUUUUAUUUUCUCAACAACACAUGAUUCAUUAUUUCUACGAACAUCUGUUUUCUCUUUGCAUAGCAAACAUAAACCUUGUUUAUCCUAAUUUAGAUUUCUAAGAGCAUAUCCAACAAGUGCACAACACGUGGCGCGCAAAAAAUGGCUUUGCAACACCGAAAUAGUUAGUUUUUGCGUGCAGCUGAGCGCUGGCUCCAGCGACCGCUGCAAAAUAUAGCGCGCGCGAGCCGCUUCAGCAGGUCCUGCAAAAAAAGGCGCCACGCGCCCAACACAAACAACAUAUGACACUCCAAACAAAACCAAGGAGAUCAAACACAUAAUAAAUAAAUCAACAAUAAAUAGUUCAAUUUUAUUACAACUCGGGUAAAUAGUUUAUCUUCCAAUACAACAAAUAGUUCGACAAUACAACAUCAAACGUACAACAUCAAACAUACAAAUCAUCAUGCGUUUUAUUGGCCAUUCCAGGCCCACCACUCUUUGAUUAGAUCCUUCUUAAGAUCAUCAUACGUUUCGGUACGUCCAAUGACAUGAUAGGAGACAACAAAUUGGGCCACCCUUGCAGCCCUCCGCCGCACUCGCCCGGGAUGUCCCAAGAGCUCAUACUUAGAGUAGUCUAAAUCUUGGCUACACUCAAUCUUGAUGAUCAUGUUAUGCAUGAUCACAUGCAUGCAUGAUAUACCAAAGGAUAUUUUGAUUCCAAAAUCUAGCCGGUCCUCUCACAAUAGCAAAUUGGGCUUGCAAAGCUCUAUCCACAUCUUUCUUAGCCGCCGCUUGCGCAUUGUGGAAAUCUACAUUUUUCUUACCUUCCGGCUUUUCUACGGCUUCACAAUUGUCGCUCUAGGUAGGUGACAUCCGCAAGAUAGUAGCCAUAGUUGCAUGUAUGGCCAUUUUCUACAAACUGCACCGGUGGCAGUUCACCGUUUGCAAUCUUAUUCAUGAGUGGUGACCGAUUAACAACAUUGAUGUCAUUGAAAGAUCCAUGCAUUCCAAAAAAAUCAUGCCAAAUCCAAGUCUCUUGAUUGGCCACCGCUUCAAGGAUUGUAGUGAAACCCUUUUUCUGGCCAUAGAAUUUCCCAUGCAUGCCUGACAAUUCUUCCAACUUCAACGCAUGAGAUCUAUUGAGCCACGCAUAUGUGGGAACCCGCGAGCUUUGUUCAUCUCCAGAAGCCUUGCGGCGCCUUCAGCAUUGGGAGAUCUCAAAUACAUCGGGCCAAAUACUUGCACAAUUCCAACUGCGAAGCGCUUGACACACAUGAUGGCUUGAUUCUCACCCAUGGCCAAGUGGUCAUCAACUAGAUCAGCCGGAAUACCAUAUGCCAACAUAUGCAAAGCGGUUGUCAACUAUUAAAAGGUGCUAUGCCCGAGUUCUCUGGCGGCAUUCCUACUUUGCUGAAAAAACUAAUCAUGGCUCGCCAGUUUCUCUGCAAUGCGCCUGAACAACUCGGUGCUCAUCCUAAACCGGCAUCAGAAGUACGACUUGGGGUACACAAGAUUAUCCACAAAAUAGUGCCUCAUCAAUCUAUUGUUGGCACUGAUCUUAUCCCUCUAAUUUUUCUGCUGACCCAUAACGAAACCACCGUGCUUCGGCUUUUUAUUAAUGUGCAUAGCUAGGAUCAUCGCAACACUACAAGGGAAAUGCUUAUAGGCAGGACCUCAGUAGUAAAAAAGCCACCGCUGCUGCUACUUAGCAGUAGCACUGCUCCUGUGCAGUGCUAGAACUAACACCUUAGCAGUAGCGCUGGAUAACAAAAACACGCUACUACUGUGUGGGACCAAAUGACGCCACCGACAGUAGCUAUAGUAGCAGCGUUGUCUAAAUACCAACGCUACUGUCGGGGAAACCGAACACCUAUGGGGUCACAAGGAUCCCUUCUAUGUUCGGCGGGGGAUUAGUUGCAUGAAGAGCAGGUUGAGCCAUUAGCACACAGAGGAUUUUUACCAGGUUCGGGCUGCAAAGAUGCAUAAUACUCUAGUCCUGCUUGUCUGGAUAUAUGUGUUCUUGAGCGUUUGAACUAGCUACGGUGUGUGCCUUAUCCAAAAGUCCGAAUUCUCUCUCUGUAUACCUUAGGCCUCCUUUUAUAUGCAAAGGGGUUGCCACAGUGGCAUGCAGGAGGUGGCAAGCUACAGUGAUCGAGCUUAUUGCUCAGUCAACCUAGGACAAACACAUUUAAUGAGUUGCCUACGUGCCCUCUUGCUUUAUCGGGGACGACAACAGAAGCCAUCCUAUUCUUUGCCGCUUCUGCUUGCUUCGACACGUGUCCAGGCUAAUGAGGCAUGCAGUGCCACGCUGGCUAACUAGCUGUUGUGUUGGCACAAUGGUAAAGCUUCCACGAAGAUCUGCAUGCCGCCACGCAGGCGCCUGCUUAGCUGGCACGACUAUUGUCGCACUGGAGUGGUCGUGAGGUGGUGAAACCUUGUCGGGCACGGGCCUGGCUGUGGCCCAGCGAUCAUCCCCGGCAAGGCUUCCCGGGGACCUUGGAGUCGCCCCUAGCAAGGGCCUUGCCCGGGGUCAUUGUCUUCUAGUCCCACGUGGAUCUGUGGGCUGUCAAUCUUUAUGAGGAUCUGGAUGCUACCAGGCAUGUGCUCUCUAGAUCUUGGUCUUAACAUUGUCGAUGGUGUCAGAGCUCUCAGUCCCAAGGGUGAUGGACAUGCUGGUGCUGUGCAGGUCGCCCCGGCAAGACCUUUGUCGAGGAUGGUCCAGCUCUCCCUCUGCCCCUUGUGCUUCGAGUAGCUGCCUUGGUAGUCUUUGGGUUUUGUCUUCCUUUGCCCCGCCAAGCCCUGCUGCAGGUGUGGCUGCGAGUGCCCGUGCACUAGUAAGGGGUACAGAAGUACCCAUACUUUUGUACACUGAUAGGAGCCCCCGGGCCUAGGCCACACAUAGGCACAAGGCGUAGUUGGGCCAGGCCCAAGGCAGUGCGCGGGCGGGCGUGGCAGAGGUCAAUCGCCAUGAUCUUUCUAUCAUUUGCGCUUCCCCACGAUCCAUGUUGAGUGCGUGACGUGGGGGUCAUGCAUGGGAUGGCCUCAGCAUGCUUGCGUCAUCUUGCAGUCGAUAGUAAAGAGGCGGUUCAUGCUUCCCUUAUUAAAAAGAAGGAAUCUGCAGGGCCCCUGCUCAUUUACCGAGUGGACUCAGGUUGCAGCCUGCAUGGCACCGCACCCCAUGAUACGGGGUGGAAAACGGGUGUGCACCUGUCCUCACGCUCCUUCUGCUUCGCCACGUAUCCUCCAUGCCUUGGGAAGGGCAGGUGGCGGAUGCAGAGGUCGUGGGCAUUAACGUCGAGGCGGAAAACCAGGUGUUUGUUGAUUGGGGGAGCGGGUCGGUUCCGAUUCCCCAUGCCUUAGGAGGCUGCAUCGGCCAUGCGGGGCGGCCGCCCUUUGGGCUGGGUGGCCAGGCCUUGGCCUUGCUCUUCUAUUAAAAGGGAGAGGGAUGGUGCUUCUCCGCACUCGCCCUCUUCUCCUCCCCCAACUUAUCAUCUUCCUCCCAUUCGCCAUGGUGAAAGGGCGUGCUGGCGCUUCGACGGCAGCGACGAGGGAUUCUGCUCGACAUCACAUUCCUCCUCCUCUGAAGCGGCCAGGGACAGAGCCCGCUGCGAGGGGAAGAGGAAGGGGACGAGGCCGAGGUCACCGCGGUGCUCGGGGAGGAGGUGGACGGGGCGGUGCACCAACUGCACUUCCGCCGGCGGCCCCUCCUCCGACGGGCGGCCAUGUCAGAUACCAGCCCUACGAGUUCUUCAUCGGGAUAUAUAAGCCUGUGUGCAGUCGUCUCCGGCUCCCUACCCUGUUCGCCCGGGUGAGGGAGCAGUACCCACCGCAGGCCUUGCGGCUUCACAUGAGGAGCUGCAGGAACGAUAGCAUGUGGGCUGACAUUGAUUUUCCUUUCCCUAACAUCAUGUACCUUCGCCAGGGGUGUAAGACUUACGCACGUGCCCACAGCUUGUCGGAGGGGCACGUUCUCCAUUUCAAGUUAAUGGAGAGCGGCCUGCUCUUCGUCAAGGUCUUCGGGAGCUUAGGAAUCCACUUAGGGUGCUGCAUGAAGAGUUCCAUCGACGAUGAAAGCUCCUCCUCGAGCGACAGUGGCGAGGAGGACAACGCCAACGACGACAAUGGCAGCGGGCGGGAGGAUGAUGACUCCGACUCCAGCUGACCAUCAGUGGCAGCACCAUCAUCUGCCCCACCUCCUCCUUCCUCCGACAACACGCCUUGACGGGGGUUACAUCCGUUUGGUUCUAGCGUCGGUGGUGGACGGGCUUCCUCGUCAAGCUCUCCAUCGUCGCGUUCCCCAUGCCCGUCACCUUUCUUCGCCUACCGUGCAUGGGAGGAAAGGGGAAAGAACAAGGAUUACAUGGCACUUAUCUUUUUCUCAAUUUAUAGGCACUUGCCGACUAGAAAAUAUAAUCUUCCGAUCACAUGCUUAUGUUCUGUAACAUCUGUACUUGUAUCAACAUAUCAAUGAAAAAGACAAACUUUUGCCAGGAACUCAUGCAUGUAAACGUUCGUGCAGAGACGAAAUGCCCCUUUAAUAAAAAUAAACGAGUCUCCCUGGAAAGCUACCUUGCCGGUGCCCUCUGUGCCUGCCAGAGAAUCACAUCUGCCGGGUUGUAGACGCAGGGUCCAGCCCCCCGCUAAUCACUUUUUGCCAAAGGUUACUGUAACCACCCCGGUCGAAGCAGCGUUCGAGUCGGGGAUGGGAGCACCUAAGUCUAAUCAGAGUGGCAAGGUUUUCUAAUGCACAAGUCACAAGUUACGAACAUGAAAGGGCAGGAGAUGAACUUUAUCUGGUUGGGUUGUCAAUGGAGACGCCGCGCUGAGCAGUCUUCUCAAUUCCUUGCCAGGGCAUUGUUACUGCGGCUGAAAGGAGGAGAGGAUAGGGGCACGAAGCCUUGGUGGUUUCCCAGCACCUGUUAGAAUCUAAGGUAGCACAAUAUCCUAGGCAAGCAUGCAUGCAUACAUAUAUAUACAUAAACAUGCAAACUAGCAGGAAAUUGUACAUGCUAAAAGCUAUCUGGCUGCGCACAGGAUCUGCGCCUGGCUCUAUACAUAGGGUUACAUGCCUUGCAGGCAAGGCUAGUACAAAAGGGGGUUGCCGGAGCUCCCAACAACCGCGCCCUAUGGGUAAAACUUACGAAGAUGUUCAAUAUUCCAGGAGUUGCUCAGCGUAAUGCCAUCUUCGGUCUCCAGGCAGACUGCGCAGGGCCUGGUGACUCGUAUUACCCGAUAGGGGCCUUACCAAUUUGGCGUCAACUUGUUUGAAUUCUUGGCGGAUUGAACGUGCCGAAGAACAAGGUCACCUUCCUCAAGGCUUCGGGCAUGAACCUUGCGGCUAUGAUAGCGGUGCAAGGCUUGCUGGUAGCGAGCGGCUCGCACAGCAGCUCGAAGAUGAUCUUCCUCAAGGAGUGUCACAUCUUCUUGGUGCAACUGCUCUUGCUCAAGCUCAUCAUAAGCGAGCACCUGAGGUGACCCAUAUAUGAGUUCCAUGGGGAGAACUGCUUCUUCCCCAUAUACCACGGCAAAGGGUGUCUGGCCAGUAGCUCGAUUUGGUGUUGUUCUGAUUGACCAAAGAACUGUUGGCAACUCAUCAAUCCAGCGUCUUCCACACUUGCGUAGCCUGUCGAAAGUUCUCGUUUUGAGGCCUCAUAAUACUUCAGCAUCCGCCCUUUCUGCUUGGACAUUGCUUCUUGGAUGAGCAACAGAAGCAAAGCAAACUUUGCUGCGAAGGUCUUUGAUAUAUUGCAUGAAGGUGUGGCUCGUGAACUGUGUGCCAUUGUCGGUGAUGACUCUAUUUGGCACAUCAAAACGGCAAAUGAGUCCCUUGAAGAAUUUGACGACGGACUGCGUUGUCACCUUUCUCACUGGCUCCACUUUAGGCCACUUUGUGAACUUGUCAAUCGCGACAUACAAGUACUCAAAGCCCCCGACAGCACGGGAAAGGGGCCCAAUAUGUCAAGCCCCCAAACCGAAAAUGGCCAGGAGAGAGGGAUUGUUUGAAGGGCUUGAGCUGGUUGAUGAAGCUUCUUUGAAUGAAACUGGCACGCUUCACACUUGGUUACUUGUGCUGUUGCAUCCUGGAGGGCAGUGGGCCAGAAGAAACCCUGCCGGAAUGCUUUGGCGGCAAGGGCUCUUGACCCUAUGUGAGAGCCACAUAUGCCUCCAUGGAUCUCUGCCAACAGCUCAGUCCAUCCUCCCGAGGAAUACACUUUAAUUUCACGCCGUUCAGCCUCCUUCUGUAAAGGACAUCAUCCACAAACUAGUACAUGCUAGACCGACGGGCUACUUUCUCAGCUUCUUCCUGCUCCUCAGGGAGCUCCCCUGUUUGAAGGAAACGAAUUGUAUGCUAUGCUCAUACUGGAGCCUGAGGCUCGACGGCAAGGACCAAACGCAUGUUUUCUGCCACGGGGGCAGCUGUCUCUAUGGCAAGAGCUUGGGACUCUGCUGAAGACUGCUGCUCCCCGGCAGGCUUGGGGUACCCGACAACUUCCUUGCCGGCGGCUCAUGGGAGCUCUGCGGGAAAGUAUUUGCCGGGGCCCGCCUUUCUUUGCUUGUUCUUCUCUGCUGAUGGUUCGACGGAUGGCUGAGAUAAUUGAAGCACAAAGGUACCUGGUUCCACAGGUAGCUUAAGGGCAACACGCUUUGACAAGUCAUCGGCAAUGCCGUUCUCUACUCGAGGAACAUGCUCUGCUUGCAGACCGUCAAAGCGCUCUUCCAACUUCCUCACUUCAUCCAUGUAAGCCUCCAUCAGCGGGCUCUGAUAAUCCUUGUUGACUUGCUUGACGACAAGUGGUGAAUCUCCUCUGACAAUAAGCUUCCUGAUUCCAAGGUCUUCGGCAAUCCUGAGACCGACAAGCAGCCCCUCGUAUUCUGCGGUGUUGUUUGUCGACCUCUCCCGGGAAAAGUGCAUCUGGACCACAUACUUGAGGCGUUCUCCGGUGGGCGCGACGAGCAGCACGCCGGCACCAGCACCUUGUAACAAGAAAGCCCCAUCGAAGUACAUAAUCCAAUGACUACUUGCCUCUUUGCCGGGAAGGGUGGUCUCUUGAAUUUCUUCGUCGGGUGUGGAUGUCCAUUCUGCUAUGAAUUCUGCCAAGGCUCUGCUCUUGAUCAUCGAGGUACUUUCAAAUCUGAGCCCAAAGCUGUACAGCUCCAACGCCCACUCCAGAAUCCUCCCAGUUACAUCUGGGUUGUGCAAAAUCCAUUGCAACGGGAGGCGAGUGACGACGGUGAUCUCGUGUGCUUGAAAGUAGUGGCGCAACUUUCUCGAGGCCAUAAGAAGGCCGAAAAGCAAUUUCUGCAUGCUAGAAUACCUUGACCUAGCCCCCUGCAAGAGGGAGCUAGCAAAAUAGACUGGAUGCUGCACCACCUUCUUCUUCUGUGUUGCCUCCUUUACUCGCGCAAACUUUGUCUUGUUGGAACCGGGCCCUACGGGGGGUUCUGCCUUGCCGGCGUCGGACCCUGCCGGCUCUGGUUCCUCAUCCAAUGGCCUUGCCGCCGCUGUUGCCUCUUCCUCAACUUCCCUCUCUGCCACUAGUGUGGCACUGACCACUUGAUUCGCUGUUGCCAAGUACAACAACAACAGCUCUUGUGGUUUGGGUGCAACCAGUAUUGGCGUAGAGGAGAGGUACCUCUUUAAAUCUUGUAGCGCUGCCUCUUCCUCCGGAGUCCAUUUCAUUGGACCCACCUUUUUAAAUUUUUUGAAAAAGGGGAGGGCGUGCUCAGCAGACUUGGAGAUAAACCUACUUAGGGCGGCAACGCAGCUGGCAAGCCUACGUAUGUCCUUGACUCGCCUGGGCGCCUCAAUCUUCUUAAUGGCUUUGAUCUUGUCGGGAUUAGCUUCGAUUCCGUGUUGAGACACAAUGAACCUAAGAAGUUUGCCGGAUGGGACGCCGAACAUACACUUCUCUGGGUUGAGCUUGAGGUUGAUCUUGUGCAAAUUUGCAAAGGUUUCUUCCAGGUCCUGCAUGAGCGCGGUCUUGUCCUUGGUUUUGACUACUAUAUCAUCCAUGUAUGCUUCCAUAUUUCUAUGGAGUUGGGGCUCAAAAUCAAUCUGGAUUGCUCGGGCAAACAUUGAACCAGCGCUUUUCAACUCGAAAGGCAUCCGUACCAAACAGUACGCACCACAUGGGGUGAUGAACGUUGUCUUUUCUUCAUCUCCCUACGUCAUGAAGAUCUGAUGAUAUCCUGAGUAAGCAUCAAGGAACGACAGCAAGUCACACCCAGUAGUGGAGACCACUAUCUGGUCGAUACGUGGCAAUGGGAAGGGAUCCUUUGGACAUGCUUUAUUGAUAUCAGUAUAGUCGAUACAUAACCUCCACUUCCCAUUCGCCUUACGUACUACGACCGGAUAGGCCAACCACGUAGGGUGGAGUACUCCCUUGACCAAGCUUGCCGCCUCCAACUUCCUGAUAACUUCGAUGGUGAACUCUUGCCAUUCCAAAGCUUGCUUUUUGAACUUCUGCUUGACGGGCCAUGCAUGGGGGCAGACAACAAGAUGGUGCUCAAUCACCUCCCAGGGAAUGCCGGGGAUGUCGAAUGCUUGCCAUGCAAACACGUCGACAUUCGCCCGCAGGAAGGCAACGAGCUUGCUUUCCUAUUUGCUGUCGAGGGUGGAGCUUAUGGUAAAAGCUCCGCCCGUGCCAUCCUCCUUGACUGACACCUUCUUGGUUUCCGGUGGGGCUUCCUUAGACUUCUUGCUCUUGCCGGUAGAGCUCUCUGGCACGUCCCCAGCGGGAACAUAACGCUCCAAGGAGGCGCGUUUGCCGGAGUGAGUGCAGGAACCCUUGCCGGAGCCAGGAGUCCUGUCGACGGCCGAGGCCUUGCUGGUCUUGUUCUCGGCGGCGGGAGCAGGUGCCUUGGCGACAGAUGCUGCAACCGCCUCUCAAUAGAGCUGAUGGGCGCUGAUGAGAAUGUCCUUCUUACCACAGCUGACGGUGAUGAUGGUCAUCGGGCCGGGCAUCUUCAGCUUGUUAUAUGCAUAGUGCGCCACCGCCAUGAACUUGGCCAGCGCUGGGCAGGCAAGGAUCUCGUUAUAUGGCAACAGGAUCUUGGCAACAUUGAAAACAAUUCUCUCCGUCCCAUAGUUGAGGUCGCCACCAAAUUUAACUGGUAGCGUGACCUUUCCCUUGGGCUGACUCCUCCUUGGAUUGAUCCCUUGGAACGUACUCGUCUCCUCGAGAUCUUCGUCAGGGAUCUGCAGCCUCUUGAUCACGUUGGAGGAAAUCAAGUUAAGGCCGCCCCCACCAUCAACUAACAUCUUCGUCACCUUGAGGUUGCGUAUUGUUGGGGAUACCAACAACGGAAACACCCGAUCGCAGUUGUGUGAUCAGGGUGAUCCUCGGCAUCGAAAAUGAUAGGCAUGUGGGAAACCUUAGCCACUUCUGGGCAUCGACCAUUGGUUCUGUCGCAUUAAUCUCACGCACCCACUAUUUCAGUUGGCGGUGGGAAGAAUGCAACGAAGCACCUCCAUCAACGCACAUCACUUUUGUCGCCUUUUGAAACUCAUGCUCGAUGGAUUCGUCAUCAUCAUCGUGAUCGUCAUCCUCCUCUUUCUUGUCGCGGCCUCGGGCAGGCCUCUCUUGUUGCUUCUCCUUGUUGCCGCAUCCUCCUCGGGUGCCAGGCUUUUUGCCGGAUCCUUCAGCGCUUCCUUGGCCCUUCUCAUUGUCUCGUCUCUCGUACUCGGCCCUUUGCUUCUUCAUCAGCAGCUCCACUUGGCGACAGUUCUGGAGGGCGUGGCUCUUGGUACGGUGAAUCUUGCAGUACUGCUUGUCGGAGCCCUCUGACAUGCCAACAGCCGCCAAGGCCCUGCAGGCGUUGCACCCGACAAUCUCCUUGCCGGGGUCGUCAACCUUGGCCUUCUUGGCGGUGCCGGGGUCGCCGGAUUCCUCUACGGCAAGCAUGGUCUUGCCCUUGCGCUUCCUAUUACGCCGUUGGCCCUUCUUCCCCGGGGCGGCAGCGUCUUCAUCUUCUGAGUCACUUCCCACAUCGGCAUCCUCGCCGGGGUACUUCCUUCCUUCCUCAGCUUGGGCGCAUCUGUUGGCCAGAACAUACAGUUCGGCAACAUCUGCAACCUUGUUCAUCGCCAGCUCUUCACGCGUCUUACAACUGCGCAUGUUCUGAUGGAAUGUGCUGAUGACAACGGCAGGAUGAACAUCAGCGAUGUUGUACUGCACACGGCUGAAUCUCUGUAUGUACUUGUGCAAACAUUCGCAGUCCCUUUGAGGGAUCACAUGCAAAUCGCUUGCCUGGCCAGGAGCUACGUGGCCGCCUAUGAAGGCACCAACAAACUCGUGGCACAGAUCGGACUAAGAGGAUAUGGAGUCUAUCAGCAAAUGCAUCAACCAUGACUUGACGUUAGGCUUGAGUGCCAACGAGAAAUAGUUGGCGCAUACCUUGUUGUCUCGUUCUCCGGCAGCUUGCAUUGCAUUGGUGUAAACGCUCAGGAACUCAGACGGAUGGGUCUUGCCAUCGUACUUCUUCGGGACCUCUGGUUUGAACACACGAGUAUUGGGACAAUGGAACUGCCGCACCUCAUGGGUGAUGUCACGCCCAAUAUGCGACCCUAUCCAAAAGGAACUCGAAGGUCCCACCAAGGAUAGACCCGCAUAUUGAAACGCUUUUGCAAGGUGGAUAUCAUUACAUCAACAUUACAUAAUAGAUGGGGAUACAUACAAGAGGCAUACAAUGCCACACGAAUACAACAUCACAAUACAUUAGAGCAUCAUCCGACUACGGAUGAAACACAAACAGAAACUCAAACGACAUCCACCCUGCUAGCCCAGGAUGCCGACCUGGAACCUAUCCCCUAAUCGAAGAAGCAGAAGAACUCCAAUACAAGUAACAUCGCUCUUGCAUCAAGAUCAUCGCAUAACCUGUACCUGCAACUGUUGUUGUAGUAAUCUGUGAGCCACGAGGACUCAGCAAUCCCAUUACCAUGGGUAUCAAGACUAGCAAAGCUUAAUGGGAAAGGAAGGGGUAAAGUGGUGAGGUUGCAGCAGCGACUAAGCAUAUAUGGUGGCUAACAUACGCAAAUAAGAGCGAGAAGACAGCAAACAGAACGGUCGAGAAACUAGCAAUGAUCUAGAAGUGAUCCUGAACUCCUACUUACGUCAAACAUAACCAAAACCGUGUUCACUUCCCGGACUCCGCCGAAAAGAGACCAUCACGGCUACACACGUGGUUGAUGCGUUUUAAUUCGUAUCUGGUGUCAAGUUAUCUACAACCGAACAUUAACAAAUUCUCAUCUGCCCAUAACCGCGGGCACGGCUUUCAAAAGAUUAUACCCUGCAGGGGUGUCCCAACUUAGCCCAUGACAAGCUCUCGCGAUCAACAAAGGAUAUACCUUCUCCCAGGAAGACCCGAUCAGACUCGGAAUCCCGGUUUACAAGACAUUUUGACAAUGGUAAAACAAGACCAGCAAAGCCGCCCGAUGCACCGACAAUCCCGAUAGGAGCUGCACAUAUCUCGUUCUCAGGGCAACACCGGAUAAGUCAAGCUACGAGUAAAACUAGACCUCGAGUUUCCCCGAGGGGGCCCCACAGGCUGCUCGGUUCGGACCAACACUUAGACAAGCACUGGCACAGGGGGGGGUGCUAAAAUAAAGAUGACCCUUGGGUUAAUUACUCCCAAGGGAAAUAUAGGUGGUGGUGAGGCAAAUGGUAAAACCAAUGUUGGGCCUUGCUGGAGGACUUUUAUUCAAAGCGAACUGUCAAGGGGGUCCCAUAAAUCACCCAACCGCGUAAGGAACGCAAAAUCCAGGAACAUAACACUGGUAUGACGGAAACUAGGGCGGCAAGAGUGGAACAAAACACCAGGCAUAAGGCCGAGUCUUCCACCCUUUACCAAAUAUAUAGAUGCAUUAAUUAAAUAAGAGAUAUUGUGAUAUCCCAACAUAAUCCUGUCCACCAUGGAGCAAUCUUCAACUUCACCUGCAACUAGCAACGCUAUAAGAGGGGCUGAGCAAAAGCGGUAACAUAGCCAAGCAACGGUUUGCUAGGAAGGGUGUCAAAGGUUAGAGGUUCAUGGCAAUUUGGGAGGCUUGAUGAGCAAAAGAUAGGUAACGCAGCAUAGCGAUAGAACGAAGCAACUAGUAUAGCAAUGAUAGUAGUGAGAUCCAGGGUAGCGGUCAUCUUGCCUGAAAUCCCGCUAGGAAGAAGAACGAGUCCAUGAAGAAGAUGAAGCCACGAAGACGAACCAAGCGUAGACGAACGAAUCCUCACGAUCGCAACGAAAACGGGAACUAUCGAGAAGAAGCACACAACAUGGUAAACACAUCACACAUAUACAAGACAUGAUGCACAACAAGCAUGAUGCAUGGCAAAGCUAGAUGAAGCUACUCAUGGCAAGGGAUGAUGCAAACAAGAGCAACACAUCAAGGCAAGUUUAAAUGAGGCCGGGAACAACAUAUAACAAUUCCGGUAAGUCCUCAUAUGCAAGUUUCGAAAUUGGUCCAGAUCUGAAUAAACCUUAUGUUCAAGUUGUUAAACUGCAAGUUAAAAUGCACCAUGAUGAUCUACACGAGAUUCUAGUCAAGUUACAUAUAAAGUUCAUUUAAUUCGGAGCUACGCCCUAGAAGAUAUGAGCAAAACAAGUUAAACAUGGCAUUGAAGCAAAAAUGCAUACAAACAUCAAGCAAACACUUCAAAACAAGGAUGCAACAUGAUAAUAUAAAGCUACAUGCACAUUCAAGCAAGUUCCAUAUAGAGCACACUCAAAACGGAGCAAUGGUUCAACACACACACACUCUACAAGUUUAAAGGACAAACUGUCCAAAACAACAACUAGGCAUAUUGCAAGCAUCAAAACAACAUGCUACAACAUCUCGACAUGAAAACAAAAGACAUGGACAUGACGUACAGGUAAAGCAUAGCAAAACAUGAACACUCAGCUAUCUCUAGAAAUCACUAAAACAUGCUCAAACACACAUGGCAAGAUUGCAAAUAAUAACAGUUCAGACUUUGCAGAAAAUAACAUCAGGUUGCAAUGUUUAGAGCUAUCAAACAACAUGUUACAGGAACUUAUCAUGGCAAACAGAGGCAUGGAAUGAAACUACUAAUUGCAUAGAAAAAAUUUCCCUUACUGACCAUAAGCCAAAAAGGAUCAGAAAAUAUGAUGGCACCCAUGUAAACAUAGCAAAUUAUAAUACAGAUUCAUACAUGGCAGGAGCAACGAUAAGAAGGCAUGUUGAAGAGCUUGUACCACUCACCACAGAGCAUUACAUGGCAUGGCAAGGCAACCAACAGUAAGAAGACAUGUUUAUGAAGCUAAGCAUGGCAAGAGUAAGUUCAUAGGUUGCAUGGAUCACUAACAACAAGCUUGGCAACAACUGAACUUAAUGUUAACAGGCUGACAUCAACAUUAUUUAUAAACUUUGGAGCAAGCUUACAACAAGCUACAACAGGCUAUAAUUGCAACCAGGGGCAUGGAUGGAUAGAACAUAACAUGUAGAACAAAACACCCUUAGUGAACAUCUCCAGAUUAUGCAUAGAAUGACUUGUAGCAGCAAGUUUACAUAGCAUCACGAAAUAACAGAUUCAGCCUAGCAAAACAGUAACAGCAAGUACCCUACUUAACAAGCUCGAUUCACUCACCGCAAGUCAUUGCAUGACAAGAUAAGCCUAGCAUCAGCAAGAAGACAUGUUUAUGAAACAAACUAAGGCAAGAACAAGUUCAUAGCAUGCAAGGAUCAACUACAACAACCUUGGCAAAAUUGAAUAACAUGUAAACAAUCUGCCAGGAAACAUUUUGUAGCAAAAGUAGAGCAAGAAAAUGACAUGCUAGACUACUCCAUAAUUGCAAACAGUGGCAUGAAUGGAUAGAGAAUAACCACAUGUUCAAAACAUCCUUACUGAAGUAUCUCAAAAUAUGCUUGGAUCUCUCUGCAGCAUCAAGUUUACAUGGCAUCAAAAUAACAACAGAACAGGGACUAAAAUCAGCAACAUUACAAAGCCUAGUUUGCCUGCUUGUUCUAGUCACCACAUUGAUCACAAAAAUAGAUGGUAAGCACAUCUUUAAAGAUGGCAUGUCAUAGAUCAAAAUACAUGUAGACAUCAACCUCAUAGGAUACACACAUCAAUCAUGGCAAAAAUGACAAAUGAGCAUGUUAUAACAGUUUCAGCAGAUUAACAUCACCUAGCACUCUUGCAACGAUGAUUCAGGCAUCAAGGUGAGCUCAAAUGAACAUGAUGCAAUGGAAUUAAAUGAAGAACUUGUUGAGGCGAACAAUUUGAUAUAUUACACGCACCAAACGGAGCUGCGGAUGCAGAGUUACAUCAUGUCGAACAUGCACACAUAUUAUGUGUUUUUGAGGACUUAGCAGUUUUUCUGAAAAAAAACACAUACGGGUGCUAUAUAGAUAACAUACACAUGGGGCGAGGGAUAGGGGGCUGCUCACCCACGGGCUUCGGCCCAGUUUGCAGGGGAGGCCAGGCAGGACGAGGGAGAUGGGCCAGCUGGGCCUGGAUCUGGGCCUGGAUCUCGGAGGCGCGGAUCGGGGCUCCUCCCGAUCCCGAUAGGCGGCGGCGACGACGGGAGCAGACGGCGGCAAUGAGGACCGACGGGGCGACGCGGUUCCGGCGCGGCGGCGCGGAAGCCGAGGCCAUCGGAGGCGGGGUCCGGCGAGGUCACGCGUGCGGCGGAGGCGCGGGACGGCACCGAACGACGGCAGGGNNNNNNNNNNNNNNNNNNNNNNNNNNNNNNNNNNNNNNNNNNNNNNNNNNNNNNNNNNNNNNNNNNNNNNNNNNNNNNNNNNNNNNNNNNNNNNNNNNNNNNNNNNNNNNNNNNNNNNNNNNNNNNNNNNNNNNNNNNNNNNNNNNNNNNNNNNNNNNNNNNNNNNNNNNNNNNNNNNNNNNNNNNNNNNNNNNNNNNNNNNNNNNNNNNNNNNNNNNNNNNNNNNNNNNNNNNNNNNNNNNNNNNNNNNNNNNNNNNNNNNNNNNNNNNNNNNNNNNNNNNNNNNNNNNNNNNAGACGGCGGCUGCAGCAAGGGGCGACGGGGAGGCGCGGGCUGGACGAAGGUGGCGGAUUCGGGCCCCGCGGGCCUGGCGUGGGCCUCGCGGGUCGGCGGAGGCGGGCGGCGGCGACGGCUGACAGGUGGCGCGACGGGAAUGGAUGGGGCGGCAGCGCGGGUGACAUGGCACGCCCUGAUUGGGCCGGGCGACGUGUCCGGCGGACAUGUCCGGCGCAGAUGGACAUGUCCGACGGCGCGGGGAGGAGUUUGCUAGGGUUUGAUCCGCAAAAAUAGACGGGGAGGACGUUUAUAUAGGCAUAGGGAGCUAGGAGAGUCCAAAUGAGGAGCGGUUUUCGGCCACGCGAUCGUGAUCAAAUGGCAGAGAGCAUGGAGGGGGUUUGGAUGGGUUUUGGGCCACUUUGGAGGGGUGUUGGGCUGCAAGACGAAAGGGGCUUUUACGGUUGCCCGGCUAAUCGUUGGAGUAUCAAACGGACUCCAAAUGGCACGAAACUUGACAGGCGGUCUACCGGUGCUAUACCAAUGCCGCUUGGCAAACCUCGGGCCAUUCCAAGAAAGUUUAACACCCACUCACAACAAGAGACAAAAGGGGGACGCAGGAGGGCAUAGGAGUGCCGGAUUGCAAAACGGACAACAGGGAAAAAGCUCGGAUGCAUGAGACGAACACGUAUGCAAUGCAAUGCACAUGAUGACAUGAUAAAAUGCAACAAGCAAGCAAAUGACAUGGCAACGACAGCGAAUAACUAGCAAACACCUGGCGCAUCGAAUCUGGGGCGUUACAACACUCCUCCACUAACAAGAGAUCUCGUCCCGAGAUCUUAGGGCCGAAACAGAAGGGAAAAUGGAAGAGGUGAAACAAGAACUCAAAGAAAAAGAAAGGAAUCGAGAGCACUCGAGAAGAAGAGAGGAACGACGAGAAUGACGAGAAUCGAAAGCUCACGGAAUCAGAUAGACUAUGAAACCACUCCGGUUAGAACGAGAUAAGAAACGAAUAAGACUGAAAGGAUUUAGGCAACACUCCGGCUGAAACAUGGGGGAAUAGAACAUGAACUUGAGAGGAUGGAAUGAUACUUGACGAGAUGAACAACACAAAGCCUCCGGAAGAAUUGGAAGAAAGGAAUGAAAUAACUUAGAAGGAAGGGUUGAACGGAGUUGUUGAGAAAAUCAACAACGAAAGAAUAAACUUGUUGUGGUAUUAUAUGUAACAUCUCAGAAAAAAUAUGCGGUGAUAACCGACCACAAAAAGAAAUGAUUGGAUAGCUGAGAGGAACGAAGAAAUGCAAAACUCCACUUCAAAAGAAUAUGGAGAAUUAAUUACACUUCGAGACGCGAGAAGAAAGGAUACUUGAACUCCUCCAACAAAAUCUUGAUGAACUCUUGAAGAAAAGAUUAAAUCAUGAAGAACCACCAUGAAGAACUCCGGUAACAAAAGGAUGAUGAGAUAGAAUGAAGGAUGAAAGAAUAAGAUGAGCCUUGCGAUGAUUUAGAUGGAGGUUCCGACAAAAUGGCUGAGGAAAUUGAACUCCAGAAAAGAAAGGAUGAAAACACUUGGAACUAGAAUCAAGAACAACUCCGAAGGAAGGGAUUAUUCACUUGGAUGAAAUAAGAAUAAGAUUUAUUGUAUGCUUAUCCUUCAUCAAAUUAAAUUGAUGACAAGCAAUGGACUUUUACAUACUACUUAUUCUUCUUGACAAAAAGAUUGAGAAGGGAUAGCACAAAACUUGAUAAGGUCUUCAUGAACCACCAGUAGGAUUGAAAAGAACGAAUGAAUUAAAAUGAUAACCAAGGAAAAGAAUCUGAACGAACCACCAUAAGAAUUCAAAAAUGACUGAUGAAAGGGGUUGAAUCACCUGGAAUAAUUAGAAGAACAAAUAUGCUUGAGGGGAUUUAGAUACAAAAGAACGGGAAGACUUCGAACUGAAUAGAGAGCACUUGAACAAAGCGUCGGGGUAAAUAGAGAACGAUAGCUGGGAUGAUGUCCUCUGAUGAAAUGAAAAGAAAUCAACUCCUGAAAUACUCCGGACGGGUAAGAAAAGAAUAUCUGGCAAGUGGAAUAAUUUGAGACGAUAACAUGAAACUAGAACCGCGAGUCUAUGAGAGAGCGGGCAAGAUUUAGAAGGAACUCUUCUUCGAUCUUCAAAUGACGACGAGAAAACACCACCAAAAUUACUGAGAUACUCUGGGAGAAUGGAAAGCAAAAAGGUUGAGCCAACAAUGAAAUGAUUUGAAAUCGAUCUUGGAGAAGGCAUGUGACUGAUGAAAUCCAUUCUUACGUCACACUUUGAAAAGAAUUGAGAAUAACUCCGGAGAAAUUAGAAGAGUCAGGUAAGAUCCUGGGAAAAGUCUUGUGGGUUAGGGCCCACUAAAGAGAAAACACCGUUGGAAAGAAUUGUUGAAGAGAUAGAUGAUGCACCGAAACAACUGAAAUAUUUGAAUGAGGUGACAACCUCGAAUUAAUUCAAACACAGACGAAUCUCCUGAGAUGUCCUGAGCACUCCGGAAGGAUAAACUGGCGAGAGACGAACGAGCAAGGAAAAACACUUGAGCCGAGGAAAAGAAUAUGAUCAACACCGAAUACUUGAAUUGGGUCCACCGGAAAAAGAAAGGGAUGAAUAAUGACGAACAAGACGAUAAUUCACCGGUUGAAACAAUUGACGAAAGACUGAAGAGGCUCUGCAAGAAUGAAAUUGAUGGUCGAGACAGAGUCAGACUCCGGGAAGAAAAAGGUGGGGUGGCGGGAAACAAAGAAAACGUGGAAGGGGGAACCAACGAAUAACUUGAAGAGAAAAACACCGGUUGAAAUAAUUGAGGAAAGAAAGCAAAGACUUCUCACGAGUAGGAUGGAUACUCGAUUACGGACUCCGGUUCCGAGAAGAAAAUGGGUGGGCGGGCGGGAAAAGAAAACAAUUGAGGAUUGAACUCAAAGAUGAAGAGGCUCGAGUUGACUUGACGAGAAAUGCACCGGAUGAAAAGAGAUGAGAACCAACGAUCGGAAAACCAACUGCGUGAUCCUAAAGAAACUUUGAAAGGGAAGAGGAGUAAUUCAAAACACCUACGUCAGGAUUCCUCACCAGAGCGACGAAGGGGCUGAGGAGUAAAAAGAAUUCCUACUCUCCGAUAUAACUAGACUCAGAAAACAGUUUUCUCCUAGACUCAACAACGGCCAAACUACACGAUCAAUCAAGGGGGGCUCCUAGGGUUGGUCGAGGCUCUGAUACCAACUUGUCACGCCCAAUAUGCGACCCUAUCCAAAAGGAACUCGAAGGUCCCACCAAGGAUAGACCCGCAUAUUGAAACACUUUUGCAAGGUGGAUAUCAUUACAUCAACAUUACAUAAUAGAUGUGGAUACAUACAAGAGGCAUACAAUGCCACACGAAUACAACAUCACAAUACAUUAGAGCAUCAUCCGACUACGGAUGAAACACAGACAGAAACUCAAACGACAUCCACCCUGCUAGCCCAGGCUGCCGACCUGGAACCUAUUCCCUGAUCGAAGAAGCAAAAGAAGAACUCCAAUACAAGUAACAUCGCUCUUGCGUCAAGAUCAUCGCAUAACCUGUACCUGCAACUGUUGUUGUAGUAAUCUUUGAGCCACGAGGACUCAGCAAUCUCAUUACCAUGGGUAUCAAGACUAGCAAAGCUUAAUGGGAAAGGAAGGAGUAAAGUGGUGAAGUUGCAGCAGCGACUAAGCAUAUAUGGUGGCUAACAUACGCAAAUAAGAGCGAGAAGAGAGCAAACGGAACGGUCGUGAAACUAGCAAUGAUCAAGAAGUGAUCCUGAACUCCUACUUACGUCAAACAUAACCCAAAACCGUGUUCACUUCCCGGACUCCGCCGAAAAGAGACCAUCACGGCUACACACGCGGUUGAUGCGUUUUAAUUCGUAUCUGGUGUCAAGUUAUCUACAACCGGACAUUAACAAAUUCUCAUCUGCCCAUAACCGCGGGCACGGCUUUCAAAAGAUUAUACCCUGCAGGGGUGUCCCAACUUAGCCCAUGACAAGCUCUCGCGAUCAACAAAGGAUAUACCUUCUCCCAGGAAGACCCGAUCAGACUCGGAAUCCCGGUUUACAAGACAUUUUGACAAUGGUAAAACAAGACCAGCAAAGCCGCCCGAUGCGCCGACAAUCCCGAUAGGAGCUGCACAUAUCUCGUUCUCAGGGCAACACCGGAUAAGUCAAGCUACGAGUAAAACCAGACCUCGAGUUUCCCCGAGGGGGCCCCACAGGCUGCUCGGUUCGGACCNNNNNNNNNNNNNNNNNNNNNNNNNNNNNNNNNNNNNNNNNNNNNNNNNNNNNNNNNNNNNNNNNNNNNNNNNNNNNNNNNNNNNNNNNNNNNNNNNNNNNNNNNNNNNNNNNNNNNNNNNNNNNNNNNNNNNNNNNNNNNNNNNNNNNNNNNNNNNNNNNNNNNNNNNNNNNNNNNNNNNNNNNNNNNNNNNNNNNNNNNNNNNNNNNNNNNNNNNNNNNNNNNNNNNNNNNNNNNNNNNNNNNNNNNNNNNNNGGAAAUAUAGGUGGUGGUGAGGCAAAUGGUAAAACCAAUGUUGGGCCUUGCUGGAGGACUUUUAUUCAAAGCGAACUGUUAAGGGGGUCCCAUAAAUCACCCAACCGCGUAAGGAACGCAAAAUCCGGGAACAUAACACCGGUAUGAUGGAAACUAGGGCGGCAAGAGUGGAACAAAACACCAGGCAUAAGGCUGAGUCUUCCACCCUUUACCAAAUAUAUAGAUGCAUUAAUUAAAUAAGAGAUAUUGUGAUAUCCCAACAUAAUCUUGUCCACCAUGGAGCAAUCUUCAACUUCACCUGCAACUAGAAACACUAUAAGAGGGGCUGAGCAAAAGCGGUAACAUAGCCAAGCAACGGUUUGCUAGGAAGGGUGUCAAAGGUUAGAGGUUCAUGGCAAUUUGGGAGGCUUGAUGAGCAAAAGAUAGGUAACGUAGCAUAGCGAUAGAACGAAGCAACUAGCAUAGCAAUGAUAGUAGUGAGAUCCAGGGUAGCGGUCAUCUUGCCUGAAAUCCCGCUAGGAAGAAGAACGAGUCCAUGAAGAAGAUGAAUCCACGAAGACGAACCAAGCGUAGACGAACGAAUCCUCACGAUCGUAACGAAAACGGGAACUAUCGAGAAGAAGCACACAACAUGGUAAACACACCACACAUAUACAAGACAUGAUGCACAACAAGCAUGAUGCAUAACAAAGCUAGAUGAAGCUACUCAUGGCAAGGGAUGAUGCAAACAAGAGCAACACAUCAAGGCAAGUUUAAAUGAGGUCGGGAACAACAUAUAACAAUUCCAGUAAGUCCUCAUAUGCAAGUAUCGAAAUUUGUCCAGAUCUGAAUAAACCUUAUGUUCAAGUUGUUAAACAGCAAGUUAAAAUGCACCAUGAUGAUCUACACGAGAUUCUAGUCAAGUUACAUAUAAAGUUUAUUUAAUUCGGAGCUACGCCCUAGAAGAUAUGAGCAAAACAAGUUAAACAUGGCAUUGAUGCAAAAAUGCAUACAAACAUCAAGCAAACACUCCAAAACAAGGAUGCAACAUGAUAAUAUGAAGCUACAUGCACAUUCAAGCAAGUUUCAUAUAGAGCACACUCAAAACGGAGCAACGGUUCAACACACACACUAUACAAUUUUAAAGGACAAGCCGUCCAAAACAGCAACUAGGCAUAUUGCAAGCAUCAAAACAACAUGCUACAACAUCUCAACAUGAAAACAAAAGACAUGUACAUGAUGUACAGGUAAAUCAUAACAAAACAUGAACACUCAGCUAUCUCCAGAAAUCACUAGAACAUGCUCAAACACACAUGGCAAGAUUGCAAAUAAUAACAAUUCAGACUUUGCAGAAAAUAACAUCAGGUUGCAAUGUUUAGAGCUAUCAAACAACAUGUUAUAGGAAAUUAUCAUGGUAAACAAAGGCAUGGAAUGAAACUACUAAUUACAUAGAACAAAAGUCCCUUACUGACAAUAAGUCAAAAAGGAUCAGAAAAUAUGAUGGCACCCAUGUAAACAUAGCAAAUUAUAAUACAGAUUCAUACAUGGCAGGAGCAACGAUAAGAAGGCAUGUUGAUGAGCUUGUACCACUCACCACAGAGCAUUACAUGGCAUGGCAAGGAAACCAACAGUAAGAAGACAUGUUUAUGAAGCUAAGCAUGGCAAGAGCAAGUUCAUAGGGUGCAUGGAUCACUAACAACAAGCAUGGCAACAACUGAACUUAAUGUUAAUAGGCUAACAGCAACAUUAUUUAGCAACUUUGGAGAAAGAUUACAACAAGCUAAAGCAGGCUAUAAUUGCAACCAGGGGCAUGGAUGGAUAGAGCAUAACAUGUAGAACAAAAUACCCUUAGUGAAAAUCUCCAGAUUAUGCAUAGAAUGACUUGUAGCAGCAGGUUUACAUAGCAUCACGAAAUAACAGAUUCAACCUAGCAAAACAGUAACAGCAAGUACCCUACUUAACAAGCUCGAUUCACUCACCACAAGUCAUUGCAUGACAAGAUAAGCAUAGCAUCAGCAGGAAGACAUGUUUAUGAAACAAACCAAGGCAAGAACAAGUUCAUAGCAUGCAAAGAUCAACUACAACAACCUUGGCAAAAUUGAAUAACAUGUAAAAAAUCUGCCAGGAAACAUUUUGUAGCAAAAGUAGAGCAAGAAAAUGACAUGCUAGACUACUCCAUAAUUGCAAACAGGGGCAUGAAUGGAUAGAGAAUAACCACAUGUUCAAAACAUCCUUACUGAAGUAUCUCAAAAUAUGCUUGGAUCUCUCUAUAGCAUCAAGUUUACAUGGCAUCAAAAUAACAAUAGAACAUGGACUAAAAUCAGCAAGAUUACGAAGUCUAGUUUGCAUGCUUGCUUUAGUCACCACAUUGAUCACAAAAAUACAUGGUAAGAACCUCUAUAAAUAUGGCAUGGCAUAGAUCAAAACACAUGUAGACAUCAACCUCAUAGGAUGCAGACAUCAAUCAUGGCAAAAAUGACAAAUGAGCAUAUUAUAACAGUUUCAGCACAUUAACAUCACCUAGCACUCUUGUAAUGAUGAUUCAGGCAUCAAGAUGAGCUCAAAUGAACAUGAUGCAAUGGAAUGAAAUGAAGUACUUGUUGAUACGAACAAUUUGAUUUAUUACACUCACCAAACGGAGCUACGGAUGCAGAGUUACACCAGGUCGAACAUGCACACAUAUUAUGAGUUUUUGAGGACUUGGCAGUUUUUCUGGAAAAAAACACAUACGGGCGCUAUAUAGAUAACAUGCACACGUGGCGAGGGAUAGGGGGCUGCUCACCCACGGGCUUCGGCCCAGUUCGCAGGGGAGGCCAGGCGGGCCGAGGGAGAUGGGCCAGCUGGGCCUGGAUCUGGGAGGCGCGGAUCGGGGCUCCUCUCGAUCCCGAUAGGCGGCGGCGGCGGCGACGGGAGCAGACGGCGGCGACGAGGACCGGCGGGGCGGCGCGGUUCCAGCGUGGCGGCGCGGAAGCCGAGGCCGUCGGAGGCGGGGUCUGGCGAGGUCANNNNNNNNNNNNNNNNNNNNNNNNNNNNNNNNNNNNNNNNNNNNNNNNNNNNNNNNNNNNNNNNNNNNNNNNNNNNNNNNNNNNNNNNNNNNNNNNNNNNNNNNNNNNNNNNNNNNNNNNNNNNNNNNNNNNNNNNNNNNNNNNNNNNNNNNNNNNNNNNNNNNNNNNNNNNNNNNNNNNNNNNNNNNNNNNNNNNNNNNNNNNNNNNNNNNNNNNNNNNNNNNNNNNNNNNNNNNNNNNNNNNNNNNNNNNNNNNNNNNNNNNNNNNNNNNNNNNNNNNNNNNNNNNNNNNNNNNNNNNNNNNNNNNNNNNNNNNNNNNNNNNNNNNNNNNNNNNNNNNNNNNNNNNNNNNNNNNNNNNNNNNNNNNNNGGAAUGGAUGGGGCGGCGGCGCGGGUGACGUGGCACACCAUGAUUGGGCCGGGCGACGUGUCCGGCGGACACGUCCAGCGCGGAUGGACAUGUCCGGCGGCGCGGGGAGGAGUUUGCUAGGGUUAGAUCCGUGAAAAUGGACGGGGAGGACGUUUAUAUAGGCAUAGGGAGCUAGGAGAGUCCAAAUGAGGAGCGGUUUUUGGCCACGCGAUCAUGAUCGAACGGCGGAGAGCAUGGAGGGGGUUUGGAUGGGUUUUGGGCCACUCUGGAGGGGUGUUGGGCUGCAAGACGAAAGGGGCUUUUACUGUUGCCCGGCUAACCGUUGGAGUAUCAAACAGACUCCAAAUGGCACAAAACUUGACAGGCGGUCUACCGGUGCUAUUCCAAGGCCGCUUGGAAAACCCCGGGCCAUUCCGAGAAAGUUUAACACCCACUCACAACAAGAGACAAAAGGGGGACGCCGGAGGGCAUAGGAGUGCCGGAUUGCAAAACGGACAACAGGGAAAAAGCUCGGAUGCAUUAGACGAACACGUAUGCAAUGCAAUGCACAUGAUGACAUGAUAAAAUGCAACACGCAAGAAAAUGACAUGGCAAUGACGGCGAAUAACUGGCAGACACCUGGCUCAUCGAAUCUGGGAAGUUACAGGUGAAUGCUGGACAAGUUAUUGCAUAGGGCAAGUCGCCAGCAUCCCCCAACGUGCAUCCCGCCGCCGUUCGAUGGUGGUCCGGGCGUCUUCCUUGAGUCGCUCUCAAAGAACUUGACAUUGGUCACGACACAUCCGUGGGUCUAACGAUGCUAUGGACAUGUUAUCUCGGGUGUCAACACGACGGGCUGGCCGCGAUGGAGGGGAGUGCACCGUGGUUGCGGCGCCCUCCAACCCUUCCACUACGUGCGCCUGCUCGGUAGCCCGGCGCUGUGAGGGACUUGCCUCCCAGUGGCCAUCCCUGUUGGCAUGGCCAAUAAGGCUUUGUAUGGUAGCCCUCCACUCUUCUUGCUUCUUCAAGGUAGGAGGAAAGUCGAGGAGUAGCUGCGCUCGCGACAGCGCUUCCGCUCGCGUGGAUGGUAGUGACAAGCGCGAGGAAUAGGAGGAACUCGGAGUUCUAACUAUGUUAGAAGGAGUCCCAUCAUGAUUCCGCGGUCGCGCGCUCAUUUUGCCAACAUCAUGGCGUGCAUGCCGACCUUGCGUGUCUUGAGUGACACUGAGGGCUUUUGCCACGGCGACGCCCGGGGUCUUCAACAUUGCGACGCUGUUCGUCGCGCACGAGCUGAGAGGAUUGCGGCGCGUGCAUUGACGGGGUCGACUUCCUGCCCCUGGAGGUCCCCGCGCCACCCGCGGGUAGCGCAGCUCCAUCCUUGGGCGCGGCGGCGCACCGACCGUCAUCACCGGUGCGGGGGAUGCCGACUGCCUGGCUUUUUGUAUUAGGAUGAUGUGGACAAUCUCAAUCUCCUCUAGCACUAGCUUCCGCCACAUCGCCCGCCCGCGCAGGCAUUGGCGGAGCGGCUUUGGAUGGACCGCUCGCUGCGAUCGUCUUCUUCUUCGGCGCCAUGGCGAUGAAGAGACUACCGUACUAACCAACAGACCAGAUUCUCACAACUAACUCCCCCUACCUGGCGCGCCAAAGAUGUCGAGGAAACCGAAUACCUAUGGGGUCACAAGGAUCCCUUCUACGUUUGGCGGGGGAUUGGCUACACGAUGAGCAGGUUGAGCCGUUAGCACACAGUGGAUUUUUACCUAGGUUCGGGCCGCAUAGAUGUGAUACAUGCAAUCCACGCCGAUGGACAUGUAUGCAAAUAAUCAAACUAGGUAGAUGUCUGUGUGCAAGAUGCAAAGAAGGAGUCCUUUUGGACCCUUUUGAUCCUGGCAGUUUGAAGGCACACCUGCUGAUGAAUGGUUUCAUGGAUGGCUAUACUCAGUGGAUAAGUGAAGAAGAUGAUCAUGAUGAUGAGGACAUCCACAUGGCAGGGAAUAACGACAUGGGGCUAGACGAAGAGAUGACCAAUCGACAUGAAGACAAUGGCGGCGGACAUGGCAGCGGGGAAGAGUCCGGAAAAGAUGGCGGCGGAGAAGAUUCCGGACACCGCAUCGAAGAAGAGUCCAUACAUGGCAGAGAAGAGGCGGCGGUCAUGCCAUAGUCUUUGAUGCUACUAAGUGCAGUCGUGCAGGACCCUCAUGUUAGAGACCUUCUUCGCAAGAGUACGACUAGCGAGAGAGCUGCUUCUAGAGAGAAGGCCAAGCCGGCGAAACUUGAAGUAGACUCGAAGACUCCAUUGUAUGACAGUUGCGAUUCCGAGGUGACCCGCUUGAGUUUCACGCCCAAACUUCUAAAGACGAAGGCCAAAAACAAAUGGACAGACAAAAGCCUUGAUGAGCAUUUGAAGUAUCUACAUAAUAAAUUCUUCUCGCGGGGAACCCGUGUCCUACUAGUGUCGAGGAGGCGAAGAAAAUCGUUUUCCCUUUUGAUUUGCCGCACAUUAGGUACCACGCAUGCAUCAACGAUUGCAUCAUUUAUCGGGGGGAGCACGCGGAAAAAACAAGCUGUCUAGUGUGCAAUGCUUCUAGAUAAAAGAAAGAAGGAAAGAAAGCUCCUGAGAAAGUUGUAUGGUACUUUCCGAUCACUCCCCGUCUGCAGCGGUAUUUCGUAGAUCCUAAGGAAGCAAAGCACAUGCGCUGGCACACGGAGAGGAAGAAGCCCGACGCGCAGAUGAUCCAAAGCUGAGACACCUCGUAGAUGGUAGCCACUGGAGAGCAUUCAACACCGUAUAUGGAUUUGCUACAGAAGAUCCAAGGAACAUUGUGCUUAGUGCGAGUACUGAUGGCAUGAAUCUGUUUGGAAACCAUAACACCAACUGUAAGAUCAUAAGUAUGUCUAGAAGGGGGAAUUAGACUACUUGACCAAAUAAAAACCUAGCCUUUUCCCAAUUUUAAUUCUUGGCAGAUUUUAGCAACUUAUCACUAGUCAAGCAAUCAACCUACACAUGCAAUUCUAAGAGUAUAGCAGCGGAAUGUAAAUCAUUGCAUAUGAAGGUAAAUGGGAGGAGUUUGGAGGGAGCAAACACAAUGUAGACAUGUAGAUUUUUGGCGUGGUUCCGAUAGGUGGUGCUAGUGUACAUCCACAUUGAUGGAGACUUCAACCCACAAAGGGUAACGACUGCACGAGUCCAUGGAGGGCUCCACCCACGAAGGGUCCACGAAGAAGCAACCUUGUCUAUCCCACCAUGGCCAUCGCCCAUGAAGGACUUGCCUCACUUGGGUAGAUCUUCAUGAAUUAGGUGAUCUCCUUGCCCUUACAAACUUCUUGGUUCAACUCCACAAUCUUGACGGAAGCUCCCAAGUGACACCUAACCAAUCUAGGAGACACCACUCUCCAAAAGGUAAUAGAUGGUGUGUUGAUGAUGAACUCCUUGCGCUUGUGCUUCAAAUGACAGUCUCCCCAACACUCAACUCUCUUUCACAGAUUUGGGUAUGGUGGAAAGAUUAUUCGAGUGGAAAGCAACUUGGGGAAGGCUAGAGAUCAAGAUUCUUGUGGUUGGAGUGGAAUGUCUUGGUCUCAAUACAUGAGUAGGUGGUUCUCUCUCAGAAAAUGAAUACUGGAAGUGUAGGCACGUUCCGAUAGCUCUCUUCGCAAAUGAAGAGUGGGUGGAGGGGUAUAUAUAGCCUCCACAUAAAAUCUAACCGUUACACAUAGAUUCCCAAACUCGGUGAGACCGAAUAGUGAAACUCAGUUAGACCGAUUCAGUUCAAAAUUUGAAUGUUAGGCUUUUCGGUGGGACCGACAUGAUCAACUCGGUGGGAACGAUGUGCUAGGGUUAGGGUAAAACCUCAACUCGGUUUGAUCGAUUACACAAACUUGGUGAGACCGAUUUUGGUAAUAAGCAAACAGAGAAUUGGUCAAGCAAACUCAGUGGGACCGAUCGCUCAUUUUGGUGAGACCAAAACGAUACGAAAAGGAAACAGGGAGUUUGCACUGCGAACUCGGUGAGACCAAUUGCUCAUUUCGGUGAGACCGAAACAUUACAAGAAGGAAACAGGGAGUGGGACCGAUCGCUCAUUUCGGUGAGACCAAAACAUUAUGAAGGGAAAUAGAGAGUUUGCAAUCCCAUCUCGGUGAGACCGAGAUCCCUAUCGGUGAAACCAAAGUGAUUAGGGUUUGUGGCAGUGGCUAUGUCAAAUGAACUCGGUGGCGCCGGAUAGAUCAAAUCGGUGGGGCCGAGUUUGACUUUUUGGUUUAGGACAUAUGUGGAAAUGAGAAAGUGGCUAAGGGUUUUGGAGCAAUUUUAGUUCAGGAAAUUUAGCAAAUUUGUUUAGGGAAAUUUUAGUUUACGGUAUAUAAUAUCAAUUUAGUUGCUUAGGGCAGUUUAGUGUGGUCAUUUUAGUGGGGUCAUUUCACUCAAUGUACUUGCUUGAAUGAUAUAUUUUGCAAAUGAUAUAUGUCAUUGAUGUUAUAUGAUUUUGCAAUGUUGGUUGAAUGUAGAAAAUUAUCCGAGUGGCCUAUGUUUUGCCGAAAUGUUGAUUUAUUUCCAUUCCAGCAAAUUCCAGGCGCUCCAUAUGUCCACUUUUUAGCAAAGCAUGCCAAAAUUUCCGUGAUUUUUGGCAUGACUUGUGCUAGAAACUAGGACACAUGGAGUACCUGGGAUUUGCCGGGAGGGGAAUGAAUCAACAUUCUGACCAAAUAUAGGCCCCUUUUUUCUCUUCAUUAUAUCUUUUAUUUAUAACUGCUGAAUAGUAAACAUGUCUACCGAAGCCCAAGCCGGGGUUUUUGCUCGCCUCUCAGAAGACCCCAUCGAGGCAGCAAAUCAAUAUUUCGAUUACCUGGACGAACACCAGAUGGGGUUGCAUGGUGGCGGCAGUGGCACCAACCCCGACACCGGCACCAGCACUGGCACCAGCACCGACACUACCCCCGAGACCGACAACGAUGCUGUCGUAGCUGGUAAAGCACCAAAGAAUAAGAGGUCACGAAGACCAAACGAGCUUGGCAUCGGACAAAUUGUGAUCACAGAGAUGCACCCCAAGAAGUUAGAGCCAACGUAGCCGGAGGAAGCGCGCUCGUGCUGGGGCAAUCAACUAGGAUGCAUCCUCAGGGAAACCGCCAACAUCAACGAUGAGAAGUUGAAGAAGAUACCACAUAUGGAGCACAUGCUCCUAAAGAAGUUGCCAAUAGGUUCCUAUUCCCCAGCCGGGAUGAAAGCAAAUAUAAAGAGCCGUGGGACGACGUCGCCAUGACAAAGAUAAAAAAGGUGAUGGUGACGUUCACCAACGACUUGUCCUCCUGGAAAGUUCGGGUGAAAAAAGUGAUUGGGAAGAAUGAACCGUCGUCCAAGAUUCAUGCUGAUAUUCCGUCAAUAAUGGAAGAGGAAUUUCAAAAAUUCAAGGAGAAUUGCGGUAAAGAAGAAGUCAAGGCAAGGUCGGAGAAAAUGAAGGCACUCUAGGCCAGGAACACGCCUCCCCACCGCCUCGGAAGCCGUGGUUACGAGGGGAAGAGGCACAUAUGGGCCAAGGAGGAUGCCGAACAUGAAAGUCAUGGAAUCCCAGACCCCUUGGCAGAGUUCACCGACCCGCUAGAGCAUGACUGGAUCAGGGCCCAGUACAAGUGGGGCCGCAUCAAAAAGAGCUUUUACAUGGACCCAAACAUGAGGGAGUUCAUGAGACUUCUGGUAAUUGUUAUAUUACCACAUUAUCAUUUUAGCUUCCAAUCAAUUCGACUACAGGUUUUGUCACAUUAGUAAACCAUCUGCGUUCCUUUUGCAGAAAGAGCAGUACCAAAAGGCAGCUGAAAGCGAUGAGUCAUCAUAGUCGUCGGCGAGGCCCAAGUGGGACACCCCAUUUAAUCGGGCCCUAAACAUACUGAAAAAGGUCCCGGUGGACAAGCACCCGUCCUAUAGAUGUGUGCACAGCGUCAGAGAUGGCGCCGCGUGGAAGACGUGCUACCGCGAGGAGCCAGAGGAAACAAGGAAGUGACGGUUGGUCAUCACUCAGCAGACCAUCAACGAGAAGGUCGCGAUUGCGGUCAAUAAGACCAAAGCUGAGACCAAAGAAGAGUUUGUCGGGAUAGUUCGUGGGUUGGUCACUAACGCGGUGCCCAGCUUGAUUCCGGCGAUUUUCAAUUGGUUGAAGAGCAGUCCAAAUGCAUGGCCGGAGGACCGCAUGUUCCACAACUGAGAGAUGCCCGAUGGCGUCUUCAAGGUUAACGUGGCCAGUGUCUUAGAUGGCUUCGAGGAUUUGCCUCCUCCGAUACCAGUCGACGAAGAGGAGACCCCUACGAGGAUUGGUGCAUGCAAGAGCUGGUUCUUGCCUUGGCUGAAGUCUCUUCUUCGUCUCGAGGCGCCAUUAUCACACCAACGCCACCUUCUCAAGAAGGUAUGAGCACCACCCCACCUACCAAAUUACCUACACCUGUCAUGGAAGGUGAUAGCGUACGAUGCGAGGGAGAGCCUCCAUUAGAGCCAGAUUAUGUCUCCCCCAUUGUCGAAGAAGCAAAUGCUGAUGAUGACAUGGAGGAGGAUGCUGAUGACCCAGACAAGUAUUUCAAUACUGCCUAUGAUGAUGGAGGUUUGAUGGAUCAGGCCGAGGAAGACUCAGGCUAUGAGCGUGGAGAUGAUGACUUGAUGCCGCCUGAUUUGCUGGAGCCAGAACAUCCUAAGGCGGAAUGCAAAAAGUGUCUCUUCAAGCUAUCCUCACAAGAGACGCCUCCAGAUGCCACCCAUACCCAGCAACACACCGAGGACUGUCCAUUGAUUAGCCUGACGACACUAGGAGUGGUGGUUAGGGAAGGUAUGGUGGGUCACUACCACCCGCCAAGAAGCAAAGGAAGAGACCGCCCAGGAAAGGCCCUAAAGGCGCCAGAGGUGCUUUAAGCAGCCAGUCGCCUCUGAAGCCCCGGGUGGUAGACAGAAUACCUGUUGAAGGUGUGAAGUGUUUCCAUAUCGCCGGUGAGCCGAUACUACCUGCCAAAGUGCUAGAGCACAUACUGAACAAUGAUCUAUGGAGACUCCAUGAAAAUGUGCUGGCCAGAGAGAAAAGCCUUCUUAUCGAGGAAAAACCAGGAAGUUGUACGUCGAGACCUGGCCCGCGAAUUAGUUCAUCAUGAAAUUUGACUACACCUACGACAUGUUCCACAUGACCAAGCUGGAUUUCCAGUUCAUCCGCAUGUAUGCGUUGUAUCUCAACUACUUCAUCAGGAUCGAGAACAUAAAAUAUGUCUGCGUCUCGGACCCGUACUAUAUGCACGAGAGCUUCUUAGUAGUUUGCAAAGAGCACUGUGACUAUGCGAGCAAGUACCUCGGCGAAUUCAUGAUCGCUAAUAAGGACAAGGAAGCGAUUCUCCUGCAUUAUCAUCCCUAGUAAGUCAUCCAUGCAUAUCCUUUCGAAGGUGUUAAUCAUUCCUUUGCAAGCAUGAAGGAUAAUAUGAAGUGUACUUAAUUUGCACAGAGGAGGCGCCGUCCUCAUCAUUCUGUACCCGGAAUACUCCCAUGCUAUGUACUUGCACUCAUCGAAUAACCUUAAGAAAAAGGAUUACACGCACGUAAAGAGUGUUCUCGAUAGUGCCCUGUUAACCUUCAGCCUGUCUGGUGGAUAUAUCAAGGUGAAAAGGCCCAGGAAGGAUGGGCUGGUUUUCCGCCAUAAGACCAACUUUUGCUGCAUGCAGCAACCGCACACCAGUAGGGCUGAUGGAUUCUACCUCAUGCAUCACCUGCUCGAGUAUAGAAGGGAUAAUCAACGCCUUCACAUGUGAGCUACUACCAAAGAUGCCGAGAUUGUCAGCUGGGCUACAAAUAUAGGAAAGAGACUGGAUCAUCGAAUCCGAGCUGAGGUUUAUCACGUACAGUGUGAACUUGCCCAAGUGAUCAUGAAGCAGGUCCUCGAACCAACGGGGAUGUUCUACCAUGAGCCAAUCACGCGGGUUGAUGUCCAAGCACUACUAGUCGCUCAGUGUCUGGACUUGAAGUCUUUCAAGAAGCUCGGGUGCUUCCUCCCUGACUAUGAAGAUUGGACCGCCGACAUGGAGGACUGAUUGUCGAUGACAAUGUGUCACUACUGUCUUUCUAUCGCCAAACUUUGGAUUAUGCACGGCAAAACUAUGUGAUGUAAUUAAACUGCAUGGUACUGAACUAGCAUAGGUCGCUCUAGUUAAUUAGUUUGGGUAUGAGGAACUUUGUCAUUUAUGUUUACUAUAAGUUUCUUGUCUUUUGCUAAUUAUGCCUCUUUGUUUUCUUAAGUACAUUAUGUUGCAUAUUAUCGUUCAAUUCAUCAACUGGUGAUGCACGUACAUAGAUCAGAAAUGGCGAAGGACUGCUAUGCCGUGUUCGCUGGGAGUGUUCCAGGGGUCUACGACCACUGGCCAGACGCUCGGGCUCGGGUGGACAAGUACUCGGGUGCUAGCCACACAGGGUUCGAUAGCAGAGCCGAAGCGGAAUGUAGUUACUUGAGGUGGACACUCCGGCAUGAGCGGGGGCGGGACUGCCGGUGCCUCAAGUAGUACAUAGUCGCGCUCCUACUCAUGCUGAUCGCUCUUCUCUUCUACAUCAUGGUUUAGAUAGAGAUGAUUAAACUUGUGUGUGCCAUGACCAUGCAGUUGUACUUAUUCGAGACAUGACAUGACUUGUGUAUUGCUAUUUUCGAGAUGUGAUGAUUUGUCUUGAAUGAUGAUGAUGAUGGUAUGAUGAGACUAUUGUAUGUCAAUGAUACGAUGAGAAUAGUGUACGUUUAGUAUGAUCUGAUGAAACUAUUGUAUAGAGUCUAUAUAUAUACAUCACAAAUACAUAGAGGGGGUGUAAAUCUGUUAAAGCAGGAAUACUAGCAGUAGCGCUGGAAGAACCUACUAGCAGCACUGGAUUAUCAGCAGCGCUUGGUUUCUUCAAGCGCUACAGAGAGUUAGCAGUAGCAAUGGACAGAGCAGCGCUAGUGCUAACCAAACUUACCAGUAACGCUACCCAUACCAGUGCUACUGCUACAACUUAGUUGUAGCGCGCUAGCAGUAGCGCUGGACCCAGCGCUACUGCUAUGUAUAUUUCAAGUGCUACCACUAGGGUUUUCCCUAGUAGUGCAAGGUCCUCCUCGUCUUCAAUAUCAAAUUCUGGAAGAAUCAUAUGAUGAACUUAUCUACCAUAUUGAAUUUAAACUAGUCUAUAAAAACUAAAAACAACAUGCACCAAAUUCAUGUAAAAAAUGUGAAGUUGAAGCAAUACAUACCUUGCAAGCGUUUUGUCGAACACCUUGUGGGCACCGAUCGGAAGUGGACGGUCAAGCGCUAUUCGUCAGAGAAAUGGCGCGCAUGAGGGACGGCGGUGACUAGAGGAAGGCGGAGGAAGCAGCGGAGGCGCGGGGAUAGGCCGGGGAAGCACCGUCGGGUCGCCGGAGCAAAUGAGAUGGUGUGGGCGGCGGCGCCCGCGCCUAUAUUGGCGGUAGGUGAAAGCCGCGGCGCGCGCGCUCGAGUGUGCAGCACGCGGGAGUGGGCGCAUGAAAUAAGCGGCGUGUAAUGCCAUUUCAAUUCGCGUGCUGAACCAAUUAUGCCACGCGUGCGUUUUCUGCGGCUCCGCUGAAGCGCCCGAAACGGCAGCGCGCCUGCAAAAAAUGAAAGUUUUUUAGCGCGACGCUAAUAUCGCGCGCCUGUUGGAGAUGCUCUAACCAUGCGUCAUCAGACACCUCAAGCUCUAGUAUGAGCUACACAUGCAUGCAUGACCAGUCUCUUGCGAAAGAAAAUGUGUGCUUCAUUGGCCGUUUGUUUGGGGAUGACCUAGUCACUGUGAGCUCAUCAGAGAAGGAGCAGUUGCUAUAGAUGUCUAUUUUGACGACCCGACGGUGCUCCACUUGCUAGUGACACAAAUCACUCUCUCCAAAUGCAUGCUAUUGAGCAUGGUUUUAUUUACCAAAAAAGGCUUUCACCCUACUUUAUAGAUAAAGCAAACUGCCAUAAAGCACCAGUACACGAGAAGGUUCACACCACACACACACAAGUCUCACAACACAAAGUACAAGAGGUUCUACUGAGGGCACAGCUCAACAAGACCAAAUAAAAAAUAGAAGGGAGUCGGAGAGGAAGCCCGACCCCUAAUCUGGAUCAGGAGGUGGCGGAGGGAGCGACGGUGACAAACGGACAACCAUCGAGCGGAGGUCAGCGAUGAUGGCAGAAAAGGCAUCACGGUCCUGUGGGUGGCUAAGCGGCCGCCAAAGCUGCAAGUAACCAGAUAGUUUGAAGAGGGUGUCAGUAGCAUGUCGAAGCAGAAUGCGCUGAAUCACAAGUCUAUUGCGGAUCGUCCAGAGGGUCCAAGCGAGGGUCCCAAUCUCCAGCCACCUAAUGUGGCGAGAAUGUGUGUGUGUGUGGGGGGGGGGGUGGAGGCCUGGAGUUCAGUGAACAUGUCAGGCAAAUUGGUGUGGCACCAAUUGCCACCAACCACCUCUCUAAAAUAGUCCCAAAGAAAUUGGGCGGACACACACGAGAAGAAGAUGUGAUUCCAGUCUUCGGGGACACCACAAAGCGGACAAAGGACACUACCUGGGCCAUUGCGCUUACGGACCUCCACACCAGACGGGAUCCGUGGAAUCCAUUGCCACAUGAAGAUCUGGAUCUUCUGGGGAAGGCGGACUGGCCAAACCGCCCUAAGGGGAGGGGGCGAAGGAGGGGGCAAUGGCCCGGUAAAGGGACUUGGUGGAGAACUGUCUCGAUGGCUCUCGGCGCCACCUAACGAGAUCCGGGCCAGCGUGAACCAGAGGCUCGUGGAGGGCAAUGCAGUCAAGCAGCUCCUGCCAGGCGGCAGCAUCCGGAGGCCCAAAUGGUCUCCGGAAGGCGAGGCGCCCUAAGUCAAUAAGGACCCUCUCAACCGAGAGCCUAGGAUCAACGACGAUGGAGAACAGGUCGGAGAAGCGUGCAGUGAAGGGGGAGUCUCUGAGGUAGUCCUGGAUUAAGGGGUCCUCAGAUAGCCGGACUAUGCACAUGGUCCGGACUGUUGGGCUGUGAAGAUACAAGAUAGAAGACUUCGUCCCGUGUCCGGAUGGGGCUCUCCUUUGCAUGGAAGUUAAGCUUGGCGAUUCGGAUAUGUAGAUUCCUUUCUCUGUAACCGACUCUGUGUAACCCUAUCCCCCUCUGGUGUUUAUAUAAACCGGAGGGUUUAGUCCGUAGGACAACAACAAUCAUAAUCAUAGGCUAGCUUUUAGGGUUUAGCCAUUACGAUCUCAUGGUAGAUCAACUCUUAUAAUAAUCAUAUUCAUCAAGAUCAAUCAAGCAGGAAGUAGGGUAUUACCUCCAUAGAGAGGGCCUGAACCUGGGUAAACAUUGUGUCCCCCGCCUCCUAUUACCAUUAGCCUUAGACGCACAGUUCGGGACCCCCUACGUGAGAUCCGCCGGUUUUUACACCGACAUUGGUGCUUUCAUUAAGAGUUCCACUACGUCAUCAUCAUAAGGCUUGAUGGCUCCUUCAAACAUCUAUAACAAUGCAGUCCAGGGUGAGGUCUUCCUCCCCGGACAGAUCUUUGUAUUCGGCAGUUUCGCACUGCGGGCCAACUCGGUUGGCCAUCUGGAGCAGAUCGACAGCUACGCCCCUGGCCAUCAGGUCAGGUUUGGAAGCUUGAACUACACCGCUGACAUCCACGGAGACUUGAUCUUUGACGGAUUUGAACCCAUAAUAGCCGCACCCUGCCGCCACGAUGAACACGACCUAAAUCUGUCAUCGGACUAUGUGCACGAGAUAGCGCCUAUAACCGCUCUGGCCCUAGAUCCUGAGCAGAUCGCGCCAUCCAAGGACGGGAGGCUCAACCCCGCCAUGGAAACCGCAGACUCAACGACACUGGAGCCAAACACAGAUCUUACCACCAAUGAGGCCUGUGUCAUCGGAACCUCAAACUCGUCUCCGGCCAUGGGCUUCGAACCACGUGUAUCUGCGCCCAUCAAAUCUGAAUGGGCACCGAUCUUGGAGUUCAGCUCCACGGACAUCUUCCAACACUCACCCCUGGGUGAUGUGUUAAACUCAUUGAAAUCCCUCUCCUUGUCAGGAGAUUCUUGGCCGAACUAUGUCUGGCUUGAGUGGGAAGCGAACGAUGAAGAAUUUCGUCACCCACCCACCACCCACUUGAUAGCCACUGUUGACGACUUAACCGACAUGCUUGAUUUCGACCCCGAAGACAUCGACGGUAUGGACGAUGAUGCCGGAGAAGAACAGGAACCACCGCCCAUAGGGCGGUGGACAGCCACCUCCUCAUAUGACAUAUAUAUGGCGGAUACACCAAAAUAAGACAAUGGAGAUGACAAAAAGGAUUCAGUUGAGGACAAACCUCCUGAGAAGCAGCCGAAGCGCCAAUGUCAGCGGCGCUGCUCUAAACCAUGCCAUGGUAAAAACAGCGAUAUUGACACAAGAGAAAAUAGCACUCCGGACGAUGCCGAAGACAACGAAAACCCCGCCAAGCCAAGUUUUGAAUAAGAUGAACAGGAAGACGGGCGAGCCAGCCCUGAUGAACAGGCCAUGAACAAAGACUCGGAGGACAGUAAUUACACGCCUAUCUCCAAGGACGAGGUGAGCCUCAGCGACAAAUAAUUCAUUGUGCCUGAGGAUCCCGUCGAGCAGGAGUGUUUUAAGCUCCAGCUAAUAGCCACUUCAAAGAGCCUGAAGAACAAGUAGCAGCAGCUUCAAGCCGACCAAGAUCUGCUCACUGAUAGAUGGACCGAGGUCCUGGCAGCCGAGGAAUAUGGACUCGAACACCGAACUAAAAGUUACCCGAAGUGCAAAUUGCUACAUCAAGUCGAUGACUAGGCGCUGGAGCCCGCACUACCAGCGCAUAAUGCGGCUGACACAAGAUAAAGCGGCAACUCAGCCCGAACACCAGCCCGCACCAUGUCGCCGAACAAAUAGAAACACAACAGCUCGGGGAUACACACAUGACCUGAUGUACGACCUGGAAAAUAGAGCAGGAUAGACCAGAUCGAUCUAUGGAUCGCGAGGGUGCGCCCCAAUGCGCAACGACAGCCACCAAGCCGGAUAUAACAAAUACAAACCCGUCCAGGCCGAAUACCGCAGACCAGCUUCAUCCGAGCUGCGUCGCGACGUAACCCGACAUAGAGGCACCAGACACCCCCUAUGCUUCACUGAUGAAGUCAUGGAACAUGAAUUCCUAGAAGGGUUUAAACCCGUAAACAUUGAAUCAUAUGACGGAACAAUAGAUGCCACAUUAUGGAUUGAGGACUUCCUUCUCCAUAUUCAUAUGGCCCGCGGUGAUGAUCUCCAUGCCAUCAAGUACCUUCCGCUAAAACUUAGGAGACCAGCUCGACACUGGUUGAACAGUCUGCCCGAAAACUCUAUUGGCAGUUGGGAGAACCUGGAAGACGCAUUCCUUGACAACUUCCAGGGCACCUAUGUCCAACCUUCGGAUGCCGAUGACUUAAGUCAUAUAAUCCAAUAGCCCGGAGAGUCAGCCAGGAAAUUCCGGACUCGGUUCUUGACUAAAAAGAACCAGAUCGUCGACUGUCUGAAUGCUGAAGCCCUAGCGGCCUUUAAGCAUAACAUCUGUGACGAAUGGCUUGCCCGACACCUCGGCCAAGAGAAGCCGAAGUCCAUGGCAGCCCUUACGACGCUUAUGACCCGCUUUUGUGCGGGUGAAGAUAGCUGGCUAGCUCGUAGCAACAGCACCUCAAGUAUACCUGGCACUUCCAAAGCCAGAUAUAGCAACGGCAAGCCCCGAUGCAGCACACACAAGCGUUGAAAUAAUGGCGACAACACCGAAGACACAGCUAUCAACGCCGGAUUCAGUGGCUCUAAGUCCGGUCAACGGAAGAAGCCAUUUAAAAGAAACAAUCCGGGCACGUCCAGUUUGGACGGCAUACUCGAUCGUCCAUGUCAAAUCCACGGCACCUUCGGUACGCCAGCUAAUCAUACCACCAGCGAAUGUUGGGUCUUCAAACAGGCCAGCAAGUCAAAUGCUGAAAGCAAAGAGAAGGGGUUGCAAAGCGAUGACAAUGACGAGGAGCCCCGUUCACCGAAAACAGGAGGACAAAAGAAGUUUCCUCCACAAGUCAAAAUGGUGAAUAUGAUAUACGCCACCCAUAUCCCCAAGAGGGAGCGGAGGCGCACACUCAGGAACGUCUACGCGAUGGAGCCAGUCGCCCCAAAGUACAACCCAUGGUCGUCCUGUCCGAUCACCUUUGAUUGUAGGGACCAUCCGACCAGUAUCCGUCACGGCGGUUCAGCCGCACUGGUGCUCGACCCAAUCAUUGAUGGAUUCCACCUUGCAUGAGUCCUUGUGGACGGUGGAAGCAGCCUGAACCUGCUCUAUCAGGAUAUAGUUCACAAGAUGGGUAUAGAUCCUUCAAGGAUCAAGCCCACAAAAACCACCUUUAAAGGUGUCAUACCAGGUGUAGAAGCCUGUUGUAUGGGCUCAAUCACACUGGAAGUGGUCUUCGGAUCCCCGAAUAACUUCCAAAGCGAAGAGGUAAUCUUUGAUAUCGUCCCCUUAUGCAGCGGCUAUCACACACUGCUCGCAAGAACCGCAUUCACCCGAUUCAAUGCGGUUCCACACUAUGCUUAUCUUAAGCUCAAAAUGUCCGAUCCGCAUGGUAUUAACAGUCAAUGGAAACACAGAACGCUCCCUCGAUACUGAGGAGCACACUGCUGCCCUCGCUGCAGAAGCACGGAGCGGUCUCUUCAGGUUGAACCUCAAUUUGGCGGCCAAGCUCCUGGAUACUGUCUAAAGAGUCUGAACUACACCGCAGCAGGACAAUCUAGCUCGCCAAGAGCUUGACUAGCAAUCCGGCCUCCGUCCUAACCCCGACCAAACAACGACUUUUGUACCGCGCGUACAUAAUUACGCACUCAAAAUACCAUGGGGAUAGACGGAGGCAUAGCUAGGUUGUGUUCCACAAUGCGGCUUAAUCACCCCUGGACAAGCAUUAUUUUAUAUUUUCCUUUUUUCUUUCAGGUCACUUUUUGUCCAGGCCGUUAUGGGCGGCCUGAUUGCUGGACCUAUCAAAGGACGGAUACACCACAAAGGGAAGUAGCUCGAACGGGCGAGGGAAUCUCUAGAUAUCCUUUUCGAGGAUCAUUCCAUCUGUCUCUGGAUCGGCACGCAGCUCCCCCGUGGUCACAGCAGGUUCCGAAGUCAUAUUGUUUAUUGCACUACUUGUACUUACAUGCUUUGACGUAAUAUUAAAUUACAAUGAAAACAAUUUGCGGCCCUAUCUAUAUGACAUUCACUUAUUGUUUCAUUUUUUGAUAUGUUUGUCAAAUAGCAGCUGUACACUCUGGUACGCCUUAAUUCGCCAGGGGCUUCAUUGUACCCCAUAACACGGCAAGAAAGUCUAAACACCUUCACGGUUGUUCGGCACCCCGAACUUAUAGCAUUAUAUGCAUCGGCUCCGAAUCAUGUCUUGGGUUAAUAGUAAAGGGAGAACUACUGCGAUUGUGUCCCGGUUCUUCCGGACGAGCACCUUAGUAGAGAAAGCCGAAAACUGACUGUCAUGAUGCGGCAAGAGCUGGUCAGCUGUUCGAGAGGUCAUAAAAUCUUUAGCGAUUUCUUCCGCAUUAUGCGAUAACUAAUGCAUCAUGCAGCGGAUCAGUUUUUAUCCGAUCAGGUGUUUUACAAUACCCCACGUUUGGUCUUCCGAACACUAGGGGCUGCGCCUACCUUUCUUUUGUCAAACUCCCAUGGCUAAGUGAGGGUGAUAAAGCCUUAUAGUCCGAUUGCCUGGUUUGUUGCGCUAAACACCUCCUUUAAGGACCAAAAUCUGGGGUAAAGAGUGUUUAGAUUUAUCCCGAACACCCCCGUACUUCCUACGUGGGGGCAGAAGCUGAUGACUGGCCAACUCUCAGAAUUAAUAUAAAAACGGCCGCACAGGAGGUAAAAAUUCAAAUAACAAGCUGAAGGAAAUAUGCCCUAGAGGCAAUAAUAAAGUUAUUAUUUAUUUCCUUUUAUCAUGAUAAAUGUUUAUUAUUCAUGCUAGAAUUGUAUUAACUGGAAACAUGAUACAUGUGUGAAUACAUAGACAAACUGAGUGUCACUAGUAUGCCUCUACUUGACUAGCUCGUUUAUCAAAGAUGGUUAUGUUUCCUAGACAUGGACAAAAGAGUUGUCAUUUGAUUAACGGGAUCACAUCAUUGAGAGAAUGAUGUGGUUGACUUGACCCAUUCUGUUAGCUUAGCACUUGAUCCUUUAGUAUGUUUGUCGUGGUGGGCGCACGGCAGAUGCCAAGGGAUGGCUAAAGAGAGGAGGAGGCUCGAGGGCGCUGGUGGGCUUCGGAGGUGAGGUUGAUAUGCGCGGGCGCGGGACGCCGGACAUACCCAGGUUCGGGGCUCUCCGGAGAGAUAACACCCCUAGUCCUGCCGAGUUUAGUUGGAUGGUCGAUAGUACAAUGUCGCUCCUGGAGAUGUAUGGAGGAGGAAGGAGGCUGGCCAAGGCUUGGGCUGCUCAUUCUCCCUGGCGUUGCUAUGUAGUGGCUAGUCCUAUCUUGCUUGCUUUUGCAUGCCGGGGAUCUUACAUGUCAUAUCUCUCAUGCCCCUGUGGGCGUGGGCUCCUGGGGGGUUUUAUAAAUCAACCCACCCAGGGGUACAAUGGUAAUAUGCCGAGUCGGUGGGUCCGUAUUGUCGGUGUCCGGGGUUCCGGGUUGGGUCCUGUUGGGGAUAUUACCACUGGGCGUGAACCGGCCUACCUGGGCCGGGUUAGCUUCAUUAGUAGUUAAAAGGUGAUUAAGCAGAUGAAGGCCCAAGGCCUGUAGUCGGUUUAGAACCUGUAGCCGCAAACCGGCUUGAUAUGUAAACUUGCAUUGUAAGUUAGGAAUAGAGAGAGACCAACCGGGUUACGAGUAUGAACCGGUGUGGGACUCUGUGGACCGACGGGCGUCACCCGUGUAUAUAAGGGGACGACCCGGCGGCGGUUCAAGGACAGACAACAACAACUCGAGCCUAGGCGAAGCUUGUUUGCUCCCUAGCCAUCGAAACCACAUCAAUUCCAUCACAACUAGACGUAGGCUUUUACCUUCAUCUAAGGGGCCGAACUAGUAUAAACCCUUGUGUCUUUGUGUCCGCUUUAACCCCUUCAAGUUAACCCGUAGCGAUGGCUCCACGACUAAGUCCUUUCACAAGGACAUCUGCCGUGAAAAAUCCACCACAGUUGGCGCCCACCGUGGGGCUAUCGCACGACGGUUUGAUGAUCUUGGAGGGUAAGCUCAAAGGACUCGAAGGCUAUGCUGUGGGCUGGAUGACCAAGAGUCGUCACGGCAAGCUCUACAUCGACGAUGCAGGAUGGGGUCCCGAAGCCGGCUCGAUCGAGUACGGGUACCUGGUCCCCUUUGGUGGCAUACACGUUUUUAUCGGCAAGAUUGGUGAGCCUGGGCCUGAACCGGACAUCCACACCGACCUUGUCGAGACGGCUCAGCACGCGAGAUCUACCCAGGUUAAACCGGCCAUGAGGCGUGCCUUCGUGGGAGUCAUCCACGGAGAAGAGCAUGAGGACGAGUCAGAAUAUGGUAGCGAGACCGUCGUCUAUUCCGGCGACGAGUCCUCAACCGGAGAGACCGAAUCAUUGUACCAGUUGCAAGAUGACCAGAUUAGGGGCUGUUCCGAUGGCGACAGUGUUCCGGACCCCCCAGAUCAGAUCAACCGGGUUGGAAUAUUCAUGGCCGACACGCAGGCGGCGAAUCACUCUUCGACCGCAGCAGCAAUGCUCUCCGGAUCAGCAGCGGCAGUGGCAGCAAGGGCAGGAGGCCUUGUGCCCCCACCGGUUCAAGUUCUGUCUGACCUGUUUGACGCACUAGCGGUACUUAUGGCAGAGGCCAAUCUGGCGGAUCAGGAGGCCCAUGAUGCGGAGAUUGCAAAGGUGAGAGAGCAGAUCGUACAGGCCAAAGCAGACCUAGCAGCAGAGAAGGACAGGAUGGCUGCAGAGCGGGCCGCUUUAGACGCCUAGGCCUAUAAGCUCAUGCUCGACCAGAACGCAUCACAGGAGGUCUUGAAGCGGAAGCACAGAUCACGCCUGCCAUUAGGGUUCGACCCUCGAAAUCUCUUACACACUCCGAGAGCUGGAACCAGUAAUCUGCCGGGGCACCUGGAGGUAAACCGGGUCGAGGCACCAGGGCCAGGAGCGACGGUCCAACCCCGCCUGAUGGAACCUCCUCGGCAGAACAUUGUAAUUCCUCUGCCGGUCCAGACACCUCCGGGUCAUUAUUCUAAUCCUAUGGACAAUCUUGUCGCAGCUGCUGCGCGAUUAGAAGCUAUCCCGGUCGAAGGAGACUCUCCACAAACAAUAGAGACGCGCCGGGUUAAGGAACUUCUCUGGACCGCUUUGAUUCAACAGGAGGCAUAUUCAUACAACCGCGAUCGGAUUCAUUCCACACCUCGUCCAAGCCGGACCUAUAGUAGGUGCCUGGAUGAACCGGCCAUAUCAAGCAAUGCACGGGGACGUGAAGCGGCCCGUGGCAAUAACCCGACCAGUGGUGUUCACGAUGCUCAGGAUGUAGUGGACCGGGCCCGGGCACGAAGGGAGGCCGAGUUAGCAGCAUAGAACGAGGCGAAUCAGCUUACACCGGUUCGUCCUACCACCUCUGCCGGGCCAAGGGUCGCAUCUAGCUUGGGAGUGCCCUGUUUAGUCCCCGCUUUACGCAAUGUACGCCUGCCCAAGGACUUCAAGGGCCCGCGCAAGGUGCCAAAUUACACCGCUGAUUUAUCUCCAGAAGCGUGGGUAGAGAGUUAUGAGAUGGCAAUGGAGAUGCUGGAUGUGGAUGAGACCGCGUGUGCAAAGUACUUCACCAUGAUGCUUGAAGGCACAGCCCGUACUUGGUUGAAGAGCCUGCCGCCUAAUUCUAUCAGUUCAUGGGCCCAGUUGCGGACCCGGUUUAUCCAGAAUUUCAAAGAUACGUGUAAGUAGCCUAAGUCCAUAGUAGACUUGGUGGCUUGUGUUCAGGAGGACAGAGAGUCAACAACCCAUUGGGUACGCCGCAUUUCUGAAGUCUUGCACUCGUCUGACAGGAUCAAUGCUGACUCUGCGAUCUUAACCCUGGAGGGCAACUGCCGGUUUAAGCCUCUAAAGUUGAAGUUGGGGCGUAUGAAGCGGUUCUGUAAUGACAUGGGAACUCUCAUGGCCGCUUUAGUGAAGUAUGCUGAUUCUGAUAGUACCAAGGAUCCCGAGACUGACGAUGACGAAGCUGGGAAGGGAAAAAAGAAUAGCAACUCUAAGGGGCAUCAAUACAAACCGGCGGGCCAUGGAAACGGAGGCAAGCGUAAAGCGGAUGGCAACAUGGACUUUGUGGCUAACACUAAUGCGCAGGACAAGGGUCAGCGGUGCAGAGGUAAAGCGGCGAAUCAUAAUGGGGCUCCAAAUCCUAACCCGGAUCGCUUAAAUUAUUUGCUGAAUCAGCCUUGUCCAAAACACGGGACGAAGGAGGCGCCGGCUAACCACCUUUGGAAGGAUUGUUACAUUAUGCAGGAAUUUAAAAACUCUAAUGCCUUCCGGUAUGACCGUGGGUCAGGUGGUGGCUCAGGAUCCGGUUUCCAUGGGCCGGGUCACGAUGGAGCUUCCGGUUCAGGUUUCAAUCAGGGCGGUAAUAAUAACCAGGAUAAUCAGAGCGGUCAAGGGGGUUACAACCAACAGCAGCAGCAGCAGCGGUCGGGUUAUCAGAGCCAGCCAAAACUGUUGAACAAUGGGCAGUAUCACGUUUUCACAACUAGCUUGGAUAAGCGCGACCGGAAACUUCACAAGCGAGCAGUGAACUCUGUUGAACCGGCCGUACCGCGUUAUUUACGCUGGUCGGAGCAGCCUAUCGUGUGGAGCAGGGAGGAUCACCCCCCCGGGUUGACAAUCCGGGCCAGUUGGCAUUAGUGGUAGACCCUCAGGUGGGAGGUUAUAAAUUCACUAAGGUACUCAUGGAUGGAGGGAGCAGUAUUAACAUCCUAUACUAUGAGACAUUCCGCCGCAUGGGGCUAACAGACAAGGAUCUCAAACCGUCUAAUAUGGUGUUCCAUGGUGUGGUGCCUGGCAAAUCAGCGUAUCCUGUUGGUAAGAUAGCUUUGGAGGUGGCUUUUGGGGACGAGCAUGAUUCCCAAUCUGAAACACUAACCUUUGAGGUAGUGAAAAUUCGGAGCCCGUAUCACGCCUUGUUUGGGCGGCCGGCUUAUGCCAGAUUCAUGGCACGACCUUGUUAUAUCUAUUUGCAGCUCAAGAUGCCAGGUUACAAAGGGACAAUAACGGUUCAUGGGAGCCGCAAGAUUGCUUUGGAAUGUGAGGAAGGUGAUGCGGCCUAUGCAGAGUCAGUUUGUGCCACAGAGGAGUUGAAAUAUUAUAGGGACAAUGUUGAUCCGGCGGACAUGACCCCUUUGAAGAGGCCGACUACGGAGCAUGAUUCAGAUCUGAAGUUCAAAUCGGCGGCUGAGACCAAGCUUGUUGACUUCGUGCCCGGCGAUUCGUCCAAGCAGUUCACUGUCAGUGCCAACUUGGACCCUAAAUAGGAAAGCGUGCUCAUCGAGUUCAUCCGUGAGAAUUGGGACAUUUUUGCAUGGAAGCCUUCUGACAUGCCAGGUGUACCAAGGGAACUCGCUGAGCACACUCCUAAUGUUGAUCCCAAGUAUAAACCGGUAAAACAGUUUCUCCUCCGGUUUAACGAAGAAAGGCGCAAAGCUAUUGGAGAAGAAGUGGCCAGGCUCUUAGCAGCUGGUUUUAUCAUUGAAGUGUUCCAUCCAGAAUGGCUCGCUAAUCCGGUGCUGGUACUUAAGAAAAAUGGCACUUGGCGUAUGUGUGUGGAUUACACGGAUCUUAACAAGGCUUGUCCAGCGGAUCCUUUUUCCCUCCCUCGCAUUGACCAGAUUAUUGACGCCAUGGCGGGUUGUGAGCGUUUGAGUUUUUUGGAUGCGUAUUCUGGGUAUCAUCAGCUCAAAAUGGCGGUUAAGGACCAGGAGAAGACGACGUUUAUUACUCCCUUUGGAGCCUUCUGCUAUGUAUCUAUGCCUUUUGGGCUCAAGAGCGCCCAAGCCACUUAUCAACGGUGUGUACAGAAUUGCCUGCAUAAACAGAUCGGCCGCAAUGUGCACGCCUAUGUGGAUGAUAUUGUAGUCAAGUCAAGGCAGAAGGAGACGCUGGUUGAUGAUUUGAAGGAAACCUUUGACAACUUGCGGGUUUAUAAGAUGAUGCUUAACCCUGCCAAAUGUGUCUUUGGUGUUCCGGCAGGCAAGUUACUGGGCUUUCUUGUGUCCAACAGAGGAAUUGAGGCUAAUCCGGAGAAGAUUAUGGCUAUCACCUCCUUGGCUAAACCGAAGUGUAUCAACGAUGUUCAGUGUUUGGCGGGUCGGAUCGCCGCACUGAGCCGGUUUAUCAGCCGCCUCGGAGAGAAGGCCAUCCCUUUAUACCAGAUGUUGAGAAAGACAGAUCAAUUCAUCUGGAGUCCAGCUGCUAAUGAAGCGUUGGAGGACUUGAAGCGGCAAUUAGCCAAUCCUCCCGUUCUUGCAACUCCGGUCGACAAAGAGCCGUUAUUGUUAUACGUAGCGGCCAAUGCUCGUGCAGUUAGCGUGGCUAUUGUGGUAGAACGCAAGGAGGCAGGCAAGGAGUAUCCGGUUCAGCAGCCGGUUUACUAUAUCAGCGAGGUGCUUAUUGAAUCCAAGCAAAGGUAUCCGCAUUGGCAGAAGCUGGUAUAUGGAGUUUUCAUGGCAAGCCGGAAGUUGAAGCAGUAUUUCCAAGGGCACCCCAUCACAGUGGUCAGUUCAGCUCCCUUGGGCGAUAUCAUACAGAACCGGGAGGCGACUGGCCGGAUUGCCAAAUGGGCCUUAGAACUUGGGCCGCACGGAUUGAAGUACGUGCCUCGGAUGGCGGUGAAGUCUCAAGCACUUGUUGAUUUCAUCAAUGAUUGGACGGAGUUGCAAGCACCAGAGGAAAAACUGGAUCACACAUAUUGGACUAUCCAUUUUGAUGGAUCCAGGCAAUUGGAAGGCUCGGGGGCUGGAGUCGUAUUAACUUCCCCACGGAGUGAUAAGUUUUGUUAUGUUCUCCGCUUAAUGUUCCCUUGUACUAAUAAUGCAGCUGAGUAUGAAGCUUUACUCCAUGGUCUCCGGAUGGAUAAAGAGAUGAAUCUAAGUCGGGUUAAGUGCUUCGAUGACUCGGACCUCGUGGCUCAACAGGUAUCUGGCACUUGGGAUUCUAAGGACCCGCUUAUGGCUGCAUAUCGUCGUGAGGUGGAUAUUGUUGUGGGUCACUUCAAGGGUUAUCAGGUGGAGCACGUGGAUCGUCGAAAAAAUGAAGCGGCGGACGCUUUAAGCCGGUUGGGCUCUCAGCGUAAACCGGUCCCGCCUAAUGUCUUUCUCGAUGUGUUGCACAACCCGUCAGUCAAGCUCCCGGGUGAAGCGGAUUUGGCUAUUCCUGAUCCGGAGGAUCAAUUGGUGGCAGCCCUGCAUAUUAUACCGGAUUGGACAGUUCCUUAUCUUGCAUACAUGAACCGGGGAGAGUUGCCAGAGGAUGAGACUCUAGCCAGGCAGAUAGUCCGGCGAUCCAAAUCUAUGACAAUUAUCAAUGGCGAAUUGCAUCAUUGCAGUGUAUUAGGGGCGUUUCAACGCUGCGUCUCUCCUGAGGAAGGUUGUGAAAUUUUACGCGAAAUCCAUGAAGGGGAUUGUGGUCACCAUGCCGGUUCAAAGUCUCUGGUGGCUAAGGCGUUUCGUCACGGGUUUUACUGGUUGACAGCUCAUGCUGAUGCGGAGGACUUGGUUAAACGGUGUGAUGGCUGUCAGAAAUUUUCAAGGCGUGCUCAUGUGCCAGCUCAAGAAUUGAGGAUGAUUCCAAUUACUUGGCCGUUUGCAACAUGGGGGCUGGAUAUGGUCGGACCUUUUAAAAGAUCCAAGGAUAAGAAAACCCAGCUUUUGGUGGCAGUUGACAAGUUUACCAAGUGGGUUGAAGCGGAGCCUGUCUGCAAGUGUGAUGCAGCUACAGCGAUGCAGUUCAUUAAAAAGGUGAUUUUCCGGUUUGGCUUUCCACACAGUAUCAUUACUGACAAUGGUACCAAUUUAUCCAAGGGUGCUAUGAAGGAAUUCUGUGAACGUGAGCACAUCAGACUUGACGUAUCAUCAGUGGUUCACCCCCAGUCCAAUGGGCAGGCAGAACGAGCUAAUCAAGAGAUCUUGCGAGGCAUCAAACCCCGGCUUAUGGUUCCAUUGCAAAGAACACCGGGAUGUUGGGUUGAAGAGCUACCAUCUGUGCUAUGGAGUAUCAACACUACGCCCAACCGAUCUACAGGAUACACACCGUUUUUUAUGGUCUACAGAGCAGAGGCGGUUCUCCCUAGUGAUAUCCGGCACGAUUCGCCUCGUGUGGCGGCUUAUGUUGAAGCGGACAAUGAGACAGCACGGCAAGAUGCUUUGGACCUAUUAGAUGAGGAGCGUGACAUAGCGGCUGCCCGCUCGGCGAUUUAUCAACAAGAUCUUCGUUGCUAUCACAGUCGCCGGGUUAGAACCAGAACUUUUCAAGAAGGAGAUUUGGUGCUUCGGCUCAUCCAAGAUCAGACAGAUAUGCACAAGUUAUCCCCACCUUGGGAGGGACCUUUCGAGGUCAGCAAGAAUCUGCACAACGGGUCGUACUAUCUGAUUGAUAUUCGAGAGCAUAAACACUCACGCACAUCAGAGGAGGAGACUAACAGGCCGUGGAAUAUAGCUCAUCUUCGGCCUUACUACACUUGAGCCAUCGACUCUAUCUAUAUACAUAUUAUGGCAAUGUAUAUAUUAUCAUUGAUACAAUAAAACCGGAGCCUAAGCUAAAGCAGGGUCUCUGUCCUUUCAUAUCAUGUGUGGUUACAUGGAGUGGUUCUGUUUUAAAGCGGCCUCCGGUUUACCCCUUGAAAUUUGCUUUUCAAAAAAGCUUUGUGAUAUCACUUGGGGCCUUGGUCGCGUCCGAACCAAAGCGACACCUUUUGAUAGGCGAAAGCCACCAGAUCACUUGGGGACAUGGUCAAGUCUGAACCAGUCACGCCUCUUGAUCGGCCUAAGGCCACAGAAUCACUUGGGGGCUUGGUCGAACCCGAACCAUUGCCACGCCUUUUGAUCGGCAUAAAUGCCACGGUUUCAUUUGGGGACCUGGCUGACUUGAACCAUUGUCACUCCUAUUGGGGGCUUGGUCCUGUCCGACCGUGGUAACACCAUCUGAUCAGCUCAGUAAAGCAUGUUUUUGCAAACGGUUUUUAUCAUUGCCUUUGCUUCCAUAUAUCUUUUAUGACUAUUCUUCAAUUUUUGUUGUGUUUCCUUUAAACCAACAACACUUUUUUAUCGGUUCAUUUGACGGAAAUCGGUUCAUUUGUACUCCGGAGAAAUAUGACCGGUUUAACUUUCCUGUUAACAUCAUGAAGUAGCAGGGGGGCUCAUAACGACCCAACACGGUUUACAUGGGAGUUGUUUUCUCCCCUUUGAUGGUAACGGUUUAUAAAUACUCCGUUUCAAGCCUGGCUAAGCCAACUUCAUGCCCAGCGAUGACAGGUAUUUUGUAUCACAUAUUUGAUUAUACGUCUUAAAUACAUUGAUGAUAUAUAUAUAUAAAGGUCAUAAACCGGUUGGCGGUAUAACCGCCACCGAAGUUCAAGAUUUUCUGAUUGCAGGAAAUAUAAAUUGAGGAUUUCAAGCAAAAGCAUCAGUACUUAUGCACGAAGGCAUAUUCAAGGCAGAAGUAUUGACUAUCCUAUUACAAGGCAACGCGGUGCCCAAAUAAGAUCAUUGUUGUUCCGGCGGAUCAUAAUAAAGCAGCUAUUUAAACUGGCUUCCGGUUCAAGCCUGUUCAUCGCCCCGGUCUGAUGAUUGUGGGUCGGCCCGCGCCGUUUCAGCUUCCUCAUCUCUAUCCAUUGGCUGGAAAUCAACAGUGGUCCAGUCGAUUCCCAUUAAAGUUUGAAAGACAGCCUCUUCAUGGAUCAGAGAAGACAGUUCAAUAUCAGGAGCGUAAGUAUGCUUACGGACUAGAGGAAUCAGAUUCUCCGCUUUAGGAGUUGGUGCAGGCACUCGUUUGUUCUGAUCAUUGUACUGAGCUUGAUAAUGCGACAAGUCUGCCUCUUCAGCCAAUUGACAAGCCAGAGGGCGUACUGCACGAUUUAUCGCCCUCAAAUCAUCUUCAUUGAACUCCGAGCCGUCUUCCUUCAAGCUGGGAUAGCCUUGAGCUGCCUCAACAGGAUCGAAAUCCGGCACCCAUGCUUUUUUCCGGAUCAAGGCAUUAAUGGCUCCGGUUCGAGCAGCAGAUUUUUUCAGUUCUUCAAUCCGAGCAGGAAGCAUUGACAACCUAUUAAGAGUGUCUUGGAUUAAAGUGGGUACCGGAUUGUUAUGAGAUGCAGUGGUGAUGAUCCACCGCGCUCCGGUAUACAGCUGUUCAAUUAAAGUGUAGGCAGCCUUCAACUUCUUCUAAACAUCUGACCCUAAGUGACCAAUGCGUGUACCUGCAACAAUAUAGGAAAGAUCACAAACCGGAUCUAUUAUAAGCAGGCCAGAGUUGUCCAGGAAACCAAAAGGAGCUUACCAAAGAUAGCAGCGGUCAUGGAAUGUACUUGCCGCCUUACGGCGGUCAGCUCAUCUACCACCGGUUUAAGGGCAGCUUCAGCAUUUUCAGCUCUUUUUAUUAAAUCGGCCUUUUCAGUGGCCCAAUCAGUCUGCUCCUUCUUGAAGCCCUCCUUCAGCUGUUCUGUGAUGCUCAAAGAGCUGGUUAUUUCUUCCCUUGCCUUGUCAGUUUCAGCUUGUUGGGUUUUCAAAGUUUCCUGCAGAUCAGUAAUCCGGUCCUCUUUGAUCCUCACUUCAGCCUGCAUAAAGACAGUGCUUGGCUUUCAACAAACGGUACAAGAAUUUGAAGUACCAACCACAUAACAAGUUAUACGCUUGAUACUUGGGGGCUAAUGCACCUUCCAUUUUCAUCUAUUACUAAACCGCAAAGUCCCAAGCUCAAUACAGGUAUUCAACUUGGCACUUGGGGGCUAAUGGCUAUUUGCUCAGUUAUGUUCUGAUGUUAGAAUCUUUAUUGGAGUCCCGGUUUAACUAUACUAAGUUGAACCGGCCCUUGGGGGCUACAUUGAUGGAUUUCAAAGUAUUGAGGACUAUAUUCAAGUCCUGGCUUGAAGAAGGUUACAAACCGGCCCUUGGGGGCUAGGAGGAUUAAUACAGUGGCAGUAAUUAAAGAAAGAAGAAGCACAAGGAAGUUACCUCAAAUUUAUCUCUCAUCAUCUUUACCAGGCCAGCUUCACAGUCACGACUAGUAUAUAGCCGGUUCAAGUAACCAGAAUGAAGAUCUUGGGCACUUAGAGCAGCAUAUGUUUCCAGAUCAACAUCCCAUUUGCCUUUGUUCAUGGCAGAAAAAUCUUCUUUCACAGUAUGCUUGGCCAAAGCGACAGGAUUCCCUGGUUCAAAGCGACCUACGCCGGUAAUUACAACGUCAUCAUCCUUGGACUCGCCGGUUUGCGUUGGCGCGGUCGGUUUAUCGGCAGGCUUUGAAGGACUGCGGGAUCUAUCAGUCCGGACGGAGCUGGCAGGCUGGUCAACAGGGACUGAGGUAUUGAUAGGCCUUUUCUCAGGAAUUGCAUCAUCUUGCAAGGGAGGAUCAUUGGGAAUAUCCUCAUAAAUGAAUGUUUCAAGAUCUGGUGUUUUAUCCUGUUCAGGGGCGACAUCUUCCUCGGCCGCUUUAUCCAGGCGGGCUUUCUUGCUCGGUUUAGGUUUAGCCCUGAAAGAGAAACAAAGAGUCAAGGAACAACAUAAGUUAUAACGUGGUAUACUAGAAGCAUAUGUUCAGUCUAGCUUACCCAAGAACCGUUUUCAGUGGUGGCAGCCGAGUGGCCGACGAUUCACCAGAGGAAGAAUGGGAAGUAAUCUGAUAAUCGGAGUCGGACGGAUUAAGAGGUUGACGGAUGAAACCCGCUUUAGGAUAUAAAUUAAUAAAAAGGUCGGAGAACUCAGAGCGGCGUUUUCGAACCGGACUAUUUGGUAAACCGGCGGAGGUAACAACCUGGCCGCUGUGCCGGGUUGUGCGGCGAGCUUUAUAUUGCUAAGUCUUCAUAAGAAAUUUGGGAUCCAAGUAAGCAAGAGGAUGAGAAAAUUUAACUUUCCGGAUUGCCUGGCGAAAAUUUGGCAAAGGCAAAGGAUCUGAAUCGGAAGAGAGAAUAGUUACCUCAGCGACAUCAGCAUUACUGGCUUCAGCGUCGUCCUGACAAGUAUCAUCAUCAAUAAGGCAUGUAAAAAGUAAGCCUAGUGAAUCGAGUUCUACCUCAAGGUCCGAGUUACCCACAUCAUCAUCAACAGCCGGAUCAGAUGAAGCAGUGGUUUUCCUCUUUUUAGCAGGCUUCUUGAUGACCUUGGUCUUUACCCGGGUUGACCGUUCUGCUUUCUCCGGUUUGUCUUGUGGAAGCUUCUUGCUCCAAAACGGAUUAUCACCUUAGUUAAGCAGCAAUUGAUGUCAGACAGAGAUAGCAAUAACAGGUUUAGUAAAAAGUACAAUCAAAAUCUUACAGCUGGCGGUUUGUUGGUAGCACAGAAAGGGAGCAGGCCGGUUUGAGCGCAGAGGUGCUCCGGUUCGUUCAGCAUUUUCUUCACAGCCUCUGUGACUUCAUCAUUGGAGAGCUGGAUGUUGGUGUGUCGGAGUGGGUCAUCAACACUACCAGUAUACUUGCACAUUAAACCGGAGCGCCGGCUGAGAGGCAGUAUGCUCCAUGAUAUCAAACAGCGUGCGAGAUCUACUCCUGUUAAACCGUUGGCCAUGAAGGCUCGGAGCUUGGAUAAUUGCGGAGCGUAUUUACUCCUCUCCUUGGCACUUAACCUUUGUGGGAAGGGGUGUGUAUUGCGGAGCCGCUCCGGACGAAAGCCGGGCAAAGGAUUUUCAUCAUCAGGGGAAGUAUCUUUGCAGUAAAACCAUGUUGCAUUCCACUCCUUGGGGUGACUGUGUCGUCUGGCAUGGGGAUAAGUGAUUUCUUUCCUUUUCUGAAUUGCCAUACCACCCAAUUCGGUAUUGGGACCAUCAGUGAAUUCUGUGCGGCAGUUUAAGUGGAAGCAGUAUCUGAACAAUUCAACUGUGGGUUUCUCUUGAAGGUAUACCUCACAGAGCACUUGGAAGUGACAUAAGUUGGUAACAGAAUUGGGGCCAGUAUCUUGCGGGCAGAGUUGAAAAUUGGCUAACACAUCCCGGUAAAAUUUAGAGCCGGGCAGUUUGAAGCCCCGGGCUAAGUGAUCCGCAAAGAUCACAACCUCUCCCUCUUGAGGUGUGGGAGGACAUUCAUCACCAGGAACCCUCCAGUGGAUAGUCUCUUUGCUGUCUAAAGCGCCGAUCGAGACUAAAUCAUCCAACUGAGUUUCUGUGACACGAGAAGGAACCCAGUUGCAUUCAUAUACUUGUUUGGCCAUGGUGAGAUCUACAAGAAAUAGGUGAUUCCGGUUCAAGAACAUGUUGGAUAAAAGAAGGCGCUGGUAUGAACAAUGCUAAACCGGAGGCAGUAUAUUUAAACCAGAUUUUUAUGAAGUGGCAUCAUAUGGUUAAAGAGUUCUGGCGGUUCAACAAGGGGACUAAUGGUAUAUACCGGUUUAUUAACUUUUUCUAUAUUAAGUUAAACCGCCUGAUCUAAACAUUGAAAUCAAUUGAGGUUGCGGAUGGCUAAGUAUGUAGAAACAGGUUUCACAAGGUCUUAUUGCAGCAAUGGAUCUGAAGCAAGUUCAGAAAAACAGAAAAUAUUCAAAAGGUUAAAGUAGAACAGAAGUAAAUCAAUGGGUAGGAAUGUGGAUGAGAUCUAUAGACUUGAGCGUAAAACUACAGGCGGAUGCUAAAAAGCUACUGCUGGUCAGAGCAGGGUUUCACAGAUAUGUCCAGGAGUCUAGGUACGAGUAUGAACAAGUGAUGAACACGGCAAGAACACGAAACCCUAGAAUAGAUCUAUGUUAAGAAGAACAGAAGGCUUACCAGAGUCGAGGAAGACGCGGAAGGCUACCGCGGUGCUCUGGUGCGUUCAGGUUGAUGCAGCGGCCCAAGACGGUGCGGAGGUCAACGGCAGCGGCGGAGCUCCGAGGCUGGCGACGCGAGGAAGACGAAGAGAAAGAGAUGAAGGGGAGAAAAGGAAUGACCCUUCGGUCCUAUUUAUAAGGCAGGGGACGUGUGUCAGGCGCGCGAAUCCAGGAGCCACAAGAUUCGGAAGUGGAGCUGCUGCCUUGGGUAUCGCAGAUCUAUUAAUAAAAGAAGGCGUCAUAAAUGUUAACUUCAUGAUGACGUCAUGCCGGUUUACAGCAACCUGAGAUGAUGACGACAUGGCGGUUUACCAAUUACCAGAAGAUGUUGAAGACAAAGAUUUUUGUGAAGGAUUGACAUGAACUAGUUCAAAUCAAUCUGGGGCCUAAUGUUGGGGAUAUUACCACUAGGCGUGAACCGGCCUACCUGGGCCGGGUUAGCUUCAUUAGUAGUUAAAAGGUGAUUAAGUAGAUGAAGGCCCAAGGCCUAUAGUCGGUUUAGAACCUGUAGCCGUAAACCGGCUUGAUAUGUAAACUUGCAUUGUAAGUUAGGAAUAGAGAGAGACCAACCCGGAUACGAGUAUGAACCGGUGUGGGACUUUGUAGACCGACGGGCGUCACCCGUGUAUAUAAGGGGAUGACCCGGCGGCGGUUCAAGGACAGACAACAACAACUCGAGCCUAGGCGAAGCUUGUUUGCUCCCUAGCCAUUGAAACCACAUCAAUUCCAUCACAACUAGACAUAGGCUUUUACCUUCAUCUAAGGGGCCGAACUAGUAUAAACCCUUGUGUCUUUGUGUCCGCUUUAACCCCUUCAAGUUAACCCGUAGUGAUGGCUCCACGACUAAGUCCUUUCACAAGGACAUCUGCCGUGACAAAUCCACGACAGGUCCCGCUUGGGGGAUUGUGGUUCGCCGGGUUCCCCUAGGCGCGGGCCCCGCGUGCCUAGGGAAACUGUGCGUCGUCUUGUCGAUCGUCAUGGCGAGGCCGAGUCGAGCCGCGCACAGUGUUCUCCAUCAGGCCGCCGCUUGCUGUUGUCAGCGGUGAGGGCGGGAACACUGUUGCCGUGCCAGCCCUGGUGAGCGGGUAGGUAAGGGGCACUGUUGCCACGCUUUGGCUGACCACGGGCAUGGGCGGGGGCACUGUAGUCUUGGUCAUCGGUGAUUGAGGUCUCGUCCCAUCGUACGGCCUGGAUGGGACGGGAGCUGACCCGUGGUUGGGUUGCCGUGGAUGCCACGGGUGGGUUGGCUUGCUGGGGAAGCCAAGGUUGCGCCGGGCUGAGUUGCCUUGCGCCAGCCGCUGCGGCCGGGUCGAUGUACCUUACUGAGUCGAGGGUCUUGGCUGGGUUGCGCGCCUUGCCGGGUCGAGCAACCCGGCUUGACGCACGCCGGUUUGCGGGGUGAUGCGGGCCCUGCUGUUUUUGAAAUAGAUCCAGGUUCCAUUGCCUGCCAGGGGUUCAUCCCCCCGAUAGUAGUCCCCGAAGCUGUGAAGGUCCAUUGUCUUCGGAUGAGUGGGCCUUCGCAGUUUCCCCCUUGAGCAAGGAAGAAUCUGCGAACGCCGGGUCCGGCAACACCCACUGUGUGCCGGUUUUCUUGGAAACUGGAUCGCGGUAUCCCGGCUGUGGCGGGAACCGAAGAGUUCAUCGAAUCUUGAGGCGAUCCCUCGGGCUUCGUGCAGGCGCCACGUGGUGCCUGGAAGUAGGAGGGGCCUGACAGGCCACGCGCGUGACGGGACUGGGCGACGGGCCGGGGCCCGUCGCCGCGCGUCCAUGGCCACACGUGCGGAUUUAUUGUGGCAUCUGGGGGCCAGUUGCACUUCCCCGCACAGUUAGUGCGUGUGUACGUGCGCACUUAUCGCGGGGUAGUGGAACGAGCGCGUGCAGACAAUCCCACUCCCCCAUGUUUGAACCGGGGGUUAUAUAUUGAGGGGAGCAAGGGGGCGGCGGACAUUAUUCUCGCUCGCGCCCUCUUGUCCCCGUGCUCUUGCUCUGCUUCUUGCCACUGACGCACAGCUGCACCUGCGGCCUUGAGCAGAGACCUUCUCCGUCGUCCUUCUUCCUCUUCUUCUUCUGAUGAUGUCGCUGCCAUCGGGCUCCUGGAUGGGCCCGACUGUCACCACCGACGACAUCACCUACCUUCGGUCCUCGCGGCGCCUGCCGCGGGAGACGGACAUCGGCGUCCAUCUGCCGCAUGGCGAGCAGAGGCCCCGGCCCGAGGGGCAGGAGCGCGUCGUCUUCCUCACGCACUUUGAGUGCGGCUACGGGUUGCCGGUGAGCACUUUCUUCCGCGGAUUCUUGGAGUUCUUCGGGCUCCAGCAGCACCAUCUCGGCGUCGGCUUCGUGACCCUGUGCGAAGGAUACCUGGGGGUCGAGCCCACCAUUGAUCUCUGGGCGUGCUUCUUCUCCUUGAAGCAGCAGGGCCCGUCGGCCGGAGAGUUCGCCGACUGUGGGCCCGCCAUCAUCUCGAAGCGGUCGGGAGCGGACUUCCCCAAGAUCCCGCUCGAGGAUUCUACCUAGAAGUGGCAGAACUCCUUCUUCUACGUCUGCAACCAUGGCGUGGACCACAUCAACCUUCCCCCCUUUGCCGUCGCGCCGCUGCGGGCGAAAAUGAACUGGGGCUACUCGCUCCGGCGCCCGUCGCAGAAGAUUGUCAACCUCUGCGAGCGGGUCACGGUGAUGAGGACGCAGGAGGGGCUCACUGGCACCGACCUCCUUGCCGCGUUCAUCACCCACCGGGUUCUCCCGCUUCAAAGGUGUAGGACCUUGAAGUAUGUCUAGAGGGGGGGUGAUUAGACUACUUGACCAAUUAAAAACUUAACCUUUUCCCAAUCUUAGUCUUUGGCAGAUUAUAUCUAUCUUAGCACAAUUAAAGCAAUCUUCACACAAUUCAAGCAAGCAUGCAAAGAGUAUAUGAGCAGCGGAAAUUAAAGCAUGCAACUUGCAAGAAUGUAAAGGGAAGGGUUUGGAGAUUUCAAACGCAAUUUGGAGACACGGUGAUUUUUGAGCCGUGGUUCCGAUAGAUGGUGCUAUCGUACAUCCACGUUGAUGGAGACUUCAACCCACGAAGGGUAACGGUUGCGCGAGUCCACGGAGGGCUCCACCCAAGAAGGGUCCACGAAGAAGCAACCUUGUCUAUCCCACCAUGGCCGUCGCCCAUGAAGUACUUGCCUCACUAGCGGUAGAUCUUCACGAAGUAGGCGAUCUCCUUGCCCUUACAAACUCCUUGGUUCAACUCCACAAUCUUGUCGGAGGCUCCCAAGUGACACCUAGCCAUUCUAGGAGACACCACUCUCCAAAAAGUAACAAAUGGUGUGUUGAUGAUGAACUCCUUGCUCUUGUGCUUCAAAUGAUAGUCUCCCCAACACUCAACUCUCUCUCAUAGGAUUUGGAUCUGGUGGAAAGAAGAUUUGAGUGGAAAGCAACUUGGGGAAGGCUAGAGAUCAAGAUUCAUAUGGUAGGAAUGGAAUAUCUUGGCCUCAACACAUGAGUAGGUAGUUCUCUCUUAGAAAUGGUAAGUUGGAAGUGUAGGUUUGUUCUAAUGGCUCUCUCCACGAAUGAAGAGGAGGUGGAGGGGUAUAUAUAUCCUCCACACAAAAUCUAACCGUUACACACAAUUUACCAAUCUCGGUGGGACCAAAUCAACAAACUCGGUCAGACCGAUUCAGUAAACCUAGUGACCGUUAGUGAUUUCGGUGGGACCGACAUGCAACUCGGUGGGACCGAUAUGGUUAGGGUUAGGGCAUAAUGUAAUCUCGGUGAGACCGAUUACACAAACUCAGUGAGACAGAUUUUGGUAAUAAGCUAACCAGAGAGUUGGUCAGGUAAACUCGGUGGGACCGAUUCGCUCUUUUCGGUGAGAGCCAAAAUGUUACGAAAGGGAAACAGAGAGUUUACAUUGCAAUCUUAGUGGGACCGAUCGCUCACUUCGGUUAGACCGAAAUGUUACGAAGGGAAACAGAGAUAUUACAAUCCCAUCUCGGUGAGACCGAGAUCCCUAUUGGUGAGCCGAUUUUCCUAGGGUUUGUGGCAGUGGCUAUGACAUCUGAACUCGGUGGCGCCAGAUAGAAAGAAUCGGUGGGGCCGAGUUUGACUUUUAGGUUUAGGUCAUAUGUGGAUAUGAGAAAGUAGUUGAGGGUUUCUGGAGCAUAUCACUAAGCACUUGAAGCAAGAAACUCAUUAAGUAACACCUCAUCCCUCCUUGAUAGUAUUGGAUUUUCCUAUAGACUCAAUGUGAUCUUGGAUCACUAAAAUAUAAAAUGUAGAGUCUUGAGGUUUUGAGCUUGAGCCAAUCCUUUUAUCCUUAAUAUUUUGAGGUAUCCACUUUCAUCAUCCGUGCCAUGCCAUUCAUCGAGCUUUCCUGAAAUAUUUCUCUUGGAAUAGUAUUAGCUCAAUGAGCUAUAUGUUGUUAUGAAUUACCAAAACCACCUAGGGAUAGUUGCACUUUCAAGAGGCGCUCCUGCCUCAUCAACGAGAUGAUCGGGCUUCAGGAUCCCAACUGGAUGGGAUCCACGCGGCUGUCUGGGGAGCAGGUCGCGCGAGGCGUGAACAACUUCUCCAAGGCCAACCUUGGAGAGGACUGGCGAUUCGGCAAGGCGCCGUACAGCCAGGCGAACCCGGCGCCGCAGGUGAGCAUCUGGUCUGGCUAUGUUUCCGCCGCGCAUCUUCUCAUUCGUCCCGACGUGUAGCGGGUGAUUCUUCUGAACGCAAGCCGGCACCCUUACGCCCGGGCUCCAUUGCAGGUGGCGUCGGUGGCACCAGAGGAUCCCGCGGCUCACGGCGGCGAGGAGGUGGCCGAGUCCGACGCCGGCGCUGGGCGCCGCACGGGUAAGCUUCGAGUCUUUCUCUUCUUCAUUUGUCUUGGAUUGUUUGGGAGUGUUGGGGCAUUGGCGACGCUGAUGCCAGUUGUCGAUGUAGCGGCGUUGGGCGGGGAAGGCGGCGAGGCGGGAGGAGCCGGGUCUUCGCAUGGGGCGGCACCGAGCUGCCCGCAUGGGAAGGACAGCGUCGCGCCAUGACCCCGGGCCCCGAAGCGCAUGGCGGAUCCGGCCGAGCCUAGGAGGCCGGCCAAGAAGAGGUGCGGGAAGCCGACCCCGGUCCCGGUCUUGUCAGGGUAAGUCUUUUUUCUUGCUUGCACCCUGAUUUCUUGGGCCAGCCUCGUCUUGCGUUUGCUCAUUCUUCUUUUUUCUUCAGGUCACCGAGGGGGCCGCGUUUCGCAGGAGCCGGUUCGACCUCGCCGUCCUGGCCGGGGAGGAGGGACGGGGCGACUCGGACCUCUGCCUAGACCCGGAUGAUGCCGAGGCCUUGGCCUGGCGGGACAGGAACCGGGCCGAGGCGGAGUUGGAGGCGACAUCGGUCCGGGCUUGGACCGAGGCGGCGGCGGCAUGGGCGCAAGGCGGCGCGGAGCCGGCCUAGCGCGAGAUGCCGGAGGGCACGGUGGUGGCGGCGACGCUUUUUUGAGCCGUCGACGCUGAGGGAGCGCGGUCGCGGAGGCUGGGCUAAGGUGGUGGUCGUCGACCGGGUGGUCGUGGAGGUGGGGGACGGAACCCCGCCACGGGCCGACGUGGUCGAGCGCGCGGGGACAUAUGGUGGUGGAGGCGGCGUCGCUUUGGAGGCGGCACCACAGGAGGCGGUGCCUGAGGUGGCGACGCAUGGUGUCCCGGCGUCUGAGGAGGUGACGACGCCGGGAGGGGCGUUCGAGGAGGUGCUGGCCGCGUCGCAAGCGGCCAGUAGUGGGCGUGCCUUGGUGCUCCGUCCGGGAGGGCACCGAGUCGUUGUGCCGCCGCCCGCGCGAAGCGGGGGCGCGGACGUCUUUGGGCCCCAGACCUAGGAGGAGGCGCGCUGGACGCCGUUAGCCGCCGCCUUCGAGGUUGGACGGAGCGGCUUGAGGCCUGUGCCCAGGCCGAGGUGGAGCGGACGCGCGACUUGGAGCACGACGUCUUGGUAAGUUCUUCUUUCAUUCUUGCUUUCUUGUAACUUCAACUUUGUGGGGGCGCGCCAGCGCACCCACUGGGUGUAGCCCCCGAGGUUCAGGCCAACUAUGUAGUAGUUGGGUCGAACGUUAGGAGCGUUGGCCUUGUGUUGACUUUGGUCUUCUCUUCAGCACCUUGACGCCUUCCGGGUUGCCGCCUUCAACCGGAUCCUGGGCAAGCACCGGGAGCUCAAGGAGCAGCUUGCCGCCAAGGAGGAGGAGCUUUGUGUCGCUGCAGGUACUUUGUUGUGCUCUUUUCUUCUAGUGGGGGCGCGCUAGCGCACCCACUGGGUGUAGCCCUCGAGAUUCGGGCAAACUGUGUAACAGUUGGGCCAAAUCUUAGGUCUUGUCUUUUCCUUUCUUUCUGCUAAAUUCUUCUUCUUCGCAGUCGAGGUGCUGUCCUGGUGGACCCGGCUGUUCCGGGCUGGUCAUCACUAUGACCGGCUUGUUGCUGACUCCGGCCGUCUCGGCAUCGAGCGGCGCAGACGAAGGCGGAGGCGGCCGCGGCCCGGCAGUCUCUUGACGAGGCCAGCCGGCUGCACGAGCAGCUGGCGGGUCACAAGGGCCGCAUCGAGGCAGAGGAGGAGCUUCCUAAAGCGGAGGCUGCCAAGGUGGUGGAGAUGCAGCAGGCCCUGGUCGAGGCGGACCAGCAGCGCGGCCAGCUGGUCGACGACAAGGGCGGCUCCAGGCCGAGGUGGAGCGUUUGCGGGAGCAGGCCACCACGGCUGAGGAGGCCCGCCAGGCCGAGGCUCGCUGCCAUGAGGCAGCCGAGAAGGCGGCCGAAGA